rnacentral:lncRNA from 1 species
UUUUUUUUUGUAGAGAACAUUGUAAAUUUAUAUGUUCACUUCAGCCAGGAAAAAAGUAUAUUAAAAAAAACAGGAAAAUAGUACAUGCGGGAAUAGAAUUUUUUUUUCCUUAACUUAGCAGGAGGGUUCUUUGCACAAACAGGAUCCCUUGAAUGGAUGGAUCCAGUACAUACGUUUAUCAAGAAUCCUGUUUAAGGCCAGUUCUUUUCAUACGAAACUUAUCUCUUUUUUUUUGCGGGAACAUACGAAACUUAUCGUCCGGGGUGUUGUAGAGAUGAGUGGAAACCGGAUGGAAUCGACUUUACAGGUAGCUGAGGUAGGUCACUAAUCACCACAGAGAAACGGUAGAGUUACACGUGCAAAAGAUGGCCGAGUUGAAUAAUUUGCCUUUCAGCUCUAGAAGACUAGAACCAUGAGAAACCUACCAUUGAACACAGCAAAUUUGUAAAUUGACAUAAAAAAUAUUUUCAGAUUUCAGUGUCAACUUUAAUUUUCAACUUCUUAUUUCUCUUUUUAAUUGACAAAUUAGUAGGCACACUGUCCCAAUUGAGGGAGUUUUUUCAAAGACAAAAUCUUCAGUAAAAUAUACUCCCUCCGUCCCAUAAUGUAAGAUGUUUUUUCGACACUAGUCCCUCCGUCGGUAAAAAAUCUGUAGUGUCGAAAAACGUCUUACAUUAUGGGAGAGAGGGAAUAUAUUACAAAUCUAUAGACUGUUAUAGUGCAAUCCAGUUCUACAACUAUCUGUAUAUCCUAUACUAGAAUAUUGCUUUCAUUUUUAUUCUACGGAGGGUAUAUAGACAUGUGUUAGUACAUCCUUACAAGUUGCGAAGAAGGCACAUAGUACAAAAAACUAAGUUUAUUUUAUUAUAGCAAGGAAGAAUGGAGGGAGAACACAUGAUACUUUUUGGGCUAGCGCUACUUGAAUUUUCUUUAAGCAAAAAAUAGCGCUAGUGGUGAUGGAUCGGAUUUCAGACAUGGGAGGGAAAAACAGCUGCCUGGUUUGGAACAGACAUAUACGUAUAUACAACCGCAAAAAAAAAGAUAUAUACGUACCCUUGCGUACUUGAGCUGCUCGAGGGUGAGCGUCUUUGGCUCCGCCUCCAUGGACGGCAUCCUCCCCGACGCCGCCACACCUUGCACCUGCACCUGCACCGUCCCCAUCUCCGUCGCCGUGUGUGUAUAUAUGCCCCUAGACAGCUUCUACCGUAUGCUAUGCACCACAAAUACACAACGCGUACGUGUCUCACUGCUGCUCUUCCUUGUAAGUGGGAUGUGGGCGCGAGUGCGUUUCGAUUAUCAGCUGCAAGAAUUUGCUGUGGACGAGAUGGCCGGGAGGGGGCACGGCCGGGGCAUAUAUACGAGCCGGCUCUGGUCCUGGACAAUCGUGUCGUGAAUUGACGGGCACACGUGGCUCGAAUGGAGUGGCAGUACGAAGACACGUGGCAGCGGGGCGACCGAGCGAUGGGUCCGCGCGUCCGUUCCGGUGGUGGCUCCCGGCCGCGGCCAAUGGGAGCUUGCCAUGACGGGCACACACGGAUACGUAUCGCCGAUCAAUCAUGAAUUCAUGAUCCAGGACGGUUGCGGAUCGCGUGGGUCGAUCUCCCACGUGCUUGGGCACCGGCCUGCUGCGACCCUGCACGUGGCUCCACAAAGAAACACGUCAACUUCGUCGCAUUUCCCGACCGCUAGAAUUGUGCACAUAGAUCAGCUCCGACCUCCGAGGUUUCAGGAUGUUCGAGAAGGGGAGAGCAAAACCGACUCGUACGUCGAAUCAUAUUCAUACGUGUGUACGUACGUGCUCAGUGCUUCUUUUUGCGGGUUACGUGCUCAGUUCAUGCAGGCUGCACCAAGGCCGGCAUGGCUGGCAUGCAUGCACGAAACGUGCGUGCUUACUUUCAUCACGGAUGUACACGUACCAAAGCAGCUACUGCGAACGCGCCCGAAGCCCGCCCAUGACACCAGAGACCAGAGGGACCGGCGCGGCGGCGAAGAGAGGAGCGACCAAACCAAGAGAAGAAGGGAGCAACAUCUUUUCUCGGCGGCUGCGUGCACGUGGUGGUGGGGACGCCUGCUUGUAAUUUGUGAGCGGGAGUGCAUCCACGACACCGGGGAGGUGGAGCCCGCGCGCGGCCUCCUCCCGCCACGUCCACCUGCGCAGCCCGCUCGCUUUCACAGCGCCACCACCUCUGUACCCAACACAAGCGAAGCGACCGAGGAGAUAGAACUUAGUUAAUGCCGCCAUGGUUUGUUAAUUCCACCGAUUAGUUAUAAUCCGGUGGACGCUGCGCUGGCGAGCUCCCAGCUACCGGUCUCUGUCGUCGCGGUGCCGUGCGUGUGUCUGUGAAAUACCGUGAAUGAUUGGGAAGGUAAUUCCUUCAUUUAAAAAAAUGACAAGGUAAAUUGUUAAUAGUGUGUUUUUUUACUAGACAAAUUUUACAAUCUAUUCAUAAAUCAUGGCACUAGCGAUGGCUACAAGCACUGAAGCAAGCCGAAGGCGCGACGCCAUCAUUGCCCCUCACUCACCGGACCUGCACAAACCUUGUUGUAGUAGACAUUCAGCAAGUCGUCGUGCUAAGGCCCCAAAGGACCAGCACAAUAGAGCAGCAACCAUCGCCGAUAGAAAGUUGUAGAUCAGAAAGAUCAAAUCUGUAACCACACGAACGAAGAAGGACAAAAACAUGAUCCAAAUAGAUCCAUCGAAGACCAGCACCGACCGAAUCCCGCGAGAUCUGCCGGAGACACACCUCCACACAUCCUCCGAGACGCUAUUCGCACCAUUGGAACAGAGAUAGAACGUGGGAGACAUUAUUCGUACCGAGGAACAAAAACAUGGAUCAACCCAAAGCCACCUUUCUGACGAUCUAUGUCGCUACACUUACUAGCUUGAUGAUGUGCCCUAACCACGCAUCAUCACACACCAUCUAAUCUGAUGGCCUCAUCAAGCCUCCCCACGAUGAGCCAAGAGCACCAACCGGUCUAGCAGACUCUCAGCGCGCACCGCAUGCGCACGCUUCAGAAUCCGGCGCCAUCAUAAUGCCAGUUAGGGCCAUCACACUGCUCGCAUCCAUCAACACAUGUCCAACGUCGACCCUGUUGCGCCACGCCACCGGGACCCGCCGUCGCCGACGCGCUAAAUGUCACGCCGCAGCACCUCCUGAUCCGGAUCGUCGCCAACGCCAACCCAACAGUCUCCACCAACCAACUAUCUCUCAAGGUGGCGCCUUCAAGAAGGGAUCGACUUUGAAUCAUCGCUGCCCACCGUAGUUACGGUUUUCACCCGGAAGACGAAUGUUGUGGUGGAAGUAGAAACCGAUCUGGCGAACGUCUCCAUGGAGAAAAUACGGCGCCCACGGGCGUCGCCGCCCUUGUGGCCAACCUGUGUCGGCUAGGGAUUUCUCUCAAUCUGAAUCCCCACCUCCAGCUCCAACCGCAUCGAGGAUCGGCAAGUCUCACGACCCACAUCCUUGCGGAGGAGCACAUCGCUUCCUCCUAGUCCAUCAUCCCCGACGGAGGAUUGGUUGCCUUUAUCUAUAAAGCAGAGUGAAAGCCUAUUUUAUAAAACAGGAAUGUUAACACCAGGUCUAUCAUGAUUAGGUAAACAAUGAGCAACCCUAUUUUGUGAAAAAAAAAAGUAAUUUAGGAACAAACUCAUGACUUUCAAGUAGAAGCUCGUGUAAAAAUAUUCAACAACAUAGAAUAACUUUGACACUUAUAACUACCCUAAACCCUAAAAUACAUCAUUCUAUGUUCAACGAUACAAAAUAGAACUGAGAAAACACACAGAGACUGCAAACACACUGUUUUUCAUUUAAAUUUCAGUUCAAUGUUCAAUAUUACUUGUCUUGUUUACGCAUUGCACACACAAAGGAACUGCACACACAGACAAUUAGUGGUUGUUCUUGUUCACUACUUGUCCACCAACCAACGGAAUUCCAUUAUACACACGAUUAUUCAUUAUAUGCAUAAAUUCAGCAAUGAAUACAUUAUAAAGCAAAAAAAUAACAAGCAGCUCGCAGCUAGCAGCCAGCGGCCAGCCGGUGGUCAUGCAGGCAAGGGCAGGGGAGUAGCUGGGGCUGGGAGCAGCCUUGCACGCGGCGGCGAACUGCGGUCAGGCAGGGGCGGGGGGAGUAGCAGGGUGUGCCGCGACAAAUGAAGGUGGCUUCUCUGACCUACGAAGAAAAGUCAGGUAAACUACACUAACCUGACUCCCCUUCCCUCUAGGUCCAUGCUCAUUUCAAUUUUAAAAACUGGUUUUUAAUUUUCAAAAGAUCAAUUUCAAUUCAUGACAUACCAAUUUUAAUCAUAAGUCAUUUGUCGUGCGGUGCAGCCCAGCAAGUCAUUUUGUGUACUCCAUUCAUUCCAAUGAAUAAGGCGUGCACACAUCCCCAAAUUCAACUUUGAUCAUAAAGUAGACCAACAAAAUAUGAAUUAUAUUUUAUAUGAUAGAAUUCACACCGUUGUUUGUAUUAAAAAUGAGUUUUUAAUGGUAGAAUUUUUAUGUCACAAAUACGUAUAAUCUAAUUUACGAUUAAAGUUAGAUUUUAAAAACAUGCGCCCCUUAUUUAUUGGAAUGGAGGGAGUGUUGCUCAUCAGUCGUCAUGUAUUUUUUUUGAGACAACCAAUCGUCAUAUUUAAUGACCUGCGCGGAAGACAACGCACAAACACGCAUGAUUUGGGCCGGCCCGUGUGCGCGGCGCCAGGUUCCCCUGUCCUUUUCCCUUAUGAGUCGUCUCUUUCCUUUUCUUUUUUCAUUUUUUAAUCCCAAAAAUAUGUCCAGGAUAUCACGAAUUUGGAAACUGUUUCCAGAUUUCAAAAAACGUUCAUUUUUUUAUUUUUUUCUAAAAUUUAAAAAAUACCUGCGAAUUAAAAUAUCUUCAUGAAUUUUAAAAAUCUUCGUUUUUCCUGAAUUUAAAAAAUGCUUGUAAAUUUCAAAAACUAUACUCAAAUUAUUAAAAAAGACACGACUUAAAAUAUGUUUUGGAAUUUUUAAAAUUAUACACAGAUUUCAAAAAAGGUCCGUUGAGUCAACAAAAACUGAUCACAAAUUUUAAAAAUGUUCGCAAAUGUAAAAAAUGUACCCAAAAACUAAAAACAUUCUAGUAUUUCAAAAUAUGUUGACGGAUUUGUAAAAUAUUUUAAGAUUUAAAAGAAUGUUAUCAAUUUGAAAAUAUUGCCGUAUUUCCAUAAUAUUCAUGAUUCAAAAAAUAUUUGUAAAUUUGAAAACAAAUUCAAAAUUUCCAAAAGAAUUCAAGAUUUGAAAAAAAAUCGCAAUUUUCAAGAAACUUCAGGAAUUUUAGAAAAGAUCACGGAUGAGGGAAAAGUUCACAAAUUUCUAAAAAAUCCAGAAGUUUGAAAAAUAGUUCAUAGAUUUGAAAAAAAAAGGUGAAAAAAAUUAGUUGCAUUGGUUGACAUACAGAGCAAAAAAACAGUCCCAUGAGGCCUUGCCUGCCUGGGCCCAAAACUUCAGAUAACCUCUUCGUGCUGCUGUUGGCAAGUAAAGCUAGGACUGCUUUCUCCACUUCCUCUAUGUAGAUAGUUGAGGCUGCCUGAAGGCAUUGCUUUGGUUUGGUUGUUGUAACACUAGUAGCUCAGAACCUCAGAGACUGUUUUUCUGUUCUUUUCUUUUCUGUACAAACUUCUUAACAAAAAAUAUAAAAAUUAUGAUGUGAGAAGAAAUACUCACAGUUUCGCCUAUACAAAAAGGUAACUGCAAAGAAAAAAAAGUAAAUGAUAAAAGAAAAAUAAACGAAAAUUCGCACAGGCUUCAAGAGCGACGCGAUAUGGGCCGGCCCAUUAAUGGUUGCUGCAAUCCCGGUUUUGGGAAGUUACCGGCGAGACGUUUGGUUCGCAGAAAAGCCGAGGCUUCCGAUUCCAAUGCUUCCCGAAACCGUACAGUUGUGUUUGGUAAACCCGCAAUGUCUUUCGUAACCGUGGUUUCCGAUACAAGACUUCGCGAAACUAAAAAUGCCCAGAUCAAAGCUAAUUGGAAAACAGGAGCACAUGUGCGCCAACCAAACAAAGCGGGUUUUCUAUAAAACUAAUCGGACAUCGGAGCUUCCUGAUACGAUAAAAUGAAUACGUUACUGGGGCCGAACCAAACGCGUCUUAGAGGUUCCCACAGUCGGGUUUUCCCGUUUUUGAGAACCUUCUAGGAGGUUUCAGAACCGGUUUUUUCUUUCUAUUUAUUUUUCCUUUUCUGUUUUUCUCUCUCUUUUUUUUAAAUUUUCUUCUUAUUUUCUUUUUCCAAUCGUUUGUUUAUAUGUUCUUGUUUUUCAAAAAAUGUUCGCGUUUCCAAAAAUCAUUCAUGUUUUCAAAAAAUGUUCACGUUUGCAAAUAUUGUUCUCUUUUUUUAAAGUCCCAAAUAUAAAUAAAUGUUCCUGUUUUCAAUUUUAUUCAGGGGAGUUUAAAAAAUGUCCACGUCUUUAAAAUUUGGUUAAUAGUUUUAAAAAUGUUUUGGUUUUAAAAAAUAUUCAUAUAUCCAAAACAUGUUCAUAUUUUUCGAAAUGUUUGAGCUUAUUCUGAAUUCGUUCACAGAAUUUGAAAAGUGUACGGGUUUCGUUUAAACAUUCAUUUAAAAAAACUUAUUUUUUAUAAACAUGAACAGAAAAUGUUCGUGUUUUCAAAAUUUGUUUGCAAAUUUCAAAAAACGUCCGUGUUUCCCAAAAUUGUUCGGGAUAUUUAAAAAAUGUUCACGUGUUGUAACAUCUGUUCACAAAUUGAAACAAUGUUCGGAAUUUCCGGAAAUAUUCCUGUUAAGAUUUAUUCAUAAACACCCAAAAUGUUCAUAUUUUUUAAAAAAAUCACAAAUUUGAAAAACUGUUCGCAAAUUUAUAAAAUUGUCCACAUUUUCAAAAACACUAGAUCCCAUCUUAAUAAGGUUCGGAAAACAUUAUUUUAAAAAAAUCAGAAAAAGAGUUGGAAGCAUAGUCUGUUCCACCUUUUUUCACUUUGCAAGAGGCACAGUUGUGCCUCUCGCGCAAGCAAACCUAUGCCUCCAUGAUAACAAAACUGUGCCUCUCGUGGAAGCAAAAAAAACUUGUUUUUACCUUUUCAAGAGGCACAGUUGUCUCUCUCGCAGAAGAACACAUGUGCCUCUACAAGAAGCAAAUCCGUACCUCUUGGGUAACAAAAAAAAUAUUUCCCUCCUUUCCAAUAGGUACAGUUAUGCCUCUCGCGAAAAGCAAACAUGUGCCUUCACGAGAAGCAAAUUGCGCCUUGCGGAAGCAAAAAAAUGCGUUUUUCCCUUUCCGAGAUGCACUGUGCCUCUCGCAGAAGAAACAUGUGCCUCCAUGAAAAGAAAAUCUACGUUUCUGACGGAAGCAAAAAAUGUGUUUUUUUUUUCAUUUUCGAUGUGCAUCUCGCGGAAGCAAAUCUGCGCCUCCAUGGGAGGCAAAUCCUUGCCUCUCAGAAAAGCAAAAAAACACGUUUUGUACACAUUUUUCUUUCUGAAAUUUUUCCUCGAAAAACUUGGGAAAACAGGGCAGUAACCGAAAAGUAGGAAAAAACCCAGGAAAAAACCAUCUAAAACAUAAAAACACAUACAGAAAAAUAAAAAGUACAAAAUCUCAAGGGAGCGUCCAGCACGGGACACGUGACGGGGGCUGAGAGUGUGCUACUUGGCGCGCUUGCAAGGGGUAGCCCUUGGUUAGUUGCUCCCGAUAAGGAUUAUUGUGCAAACGAGCGAACCCCCUCCAUUCCCAUAAUUCUGAAUGGGCCGGCCCACCAAGCACACAAAAGGGAAUUUCCCUCCCGGGUUUUAAUGCUUCCUAGGCCGGUUUUCGGAAGCUUCUGAAAGCUUUCUCACUGGGUUUUUUGUUUUCCUUUUCUUUUUCUUUCUUUUUUAUCCCUUUCUUCUGGCUUUGUUUUUCAUUUUUUUCAUUCCUUUCCUCUUUGCUCUUUUUCUUUCUCAUUUUUUAUUUGCGCAAACUUUUUCUAAUUUGAAAACUAACUUUAACUUUGUGUUUUUCUUAAAUUUGUGACAAUUUUUUCAAAAUCUCUGAACAUUUUCCAAAUCCACUAAAUUCUUUUCAAAAUCAUGUUUUUUUCAAUUUUGUGAACUUUGUUUUCCAAAAUCAAUAUUUUUUAGAAAAUUAGUAAUUUCUUUACUAGAAUACAUUUUUUUUUUCAAAUUCAUGAACUUCUCAAACCCUGACUUUUUUUCAAAAUCUACAUAUUUUUUUCUAAUUCUUGAACAUUAUUUCUACAAUAUCAUGAACUUUUUUCUAAUCUAUGAAUAGUUUUCAAAUUCGUGAAUUUUUCAAACUUAUGAAAAAAACUCAAAAUUGUGAUUUUUUUAUCAAAUCAGUGAACUUUUUUAAAAUUCAUGAACAUUUUUUAAAGCCAACUGAUUAGCGGUCAAGUUUCCCACAAAACCUGAUUUGCGCUCAACGACAGACUACGUUAAUUGGUUAUCGAACGAAGGAAAUCCGGCCGAGCGAGUUGCUUCGCUUUUGUUGGGCGGCCCAGAAAGGCAAGGCCCUGGGUGCCCAGGUUGUGACUCGACCCAUGAUCGGUCUAUAUCGUUGCAGUGUCGUGUGUGUGUGUAUGAAAUACUAUGGAUGAUUGGGAAGGUCGUGCACUAUUAUUUUCGUUAAAAAGGGAAGGUAAUUGUUAAGAGUGUGUUUUUUCAAUGAAAUUAUUGAGUUUUAUUCCAUGGUAACAGUUUUUUUUGCGGGGACCAUGUUAACAUGUUUCCGUCUGCUAAUACAUUAUGCUAUUUGGCACAACCAAACAUCAGUGCUAACACUAGUUCUACAAUGAUGAGCUAAACAAUGAGCAACUUUUUUUUAACAAAGUAAUUUCUGGGGAAUAAACUCAUGACUUUCAAGUAGAAGCUUGAUUUCAAUUAGCAGAUGACCUUAGCAGGACCGGUCCAUCGAGGUACUAGCGAGAGCUCCAAUAAGAGCGACACAGUCUGCUUGGAUGAUCAUGGGGUGAUCCGUCAUUGCAAGUUGAGAGUAAUGCCCUCCAAAAAUAUGUGUAUCUCCAAUUUGAGGGCAUCAUUGCAAUAAAACAAGUGCAUCAAAAAGGGACCCAUCAACAAACGAAGACAUCCAUCCCAUGGUUGGCCGAGGCCAAGGAUCCAACGCCAAUGUUACCUUUGUCAAAGUAGGUCGAGCCCAUUCAAUGAUUGUCUUACCCUUCAGUGCCUCCUUCAUGGCCUGAUGUCUUAAUUGUAGAACCACUUUGAGAUAGCUACAAAGGAAUUCCUUCCAGAUGCGCACCAGUGGUAUUUGCUUGCCGUAUACCUUAUCAUUCUUGAGGUUCCAAAUUUGAUAGACGAGGAGAAAUAUCAUGGAUCAUACCAAUUCCAUUUUGUUCAAAGAACAUGAAAUAACCACUUCAACACUGAGAUAACAACCUCUUUCUUGCGAGGGAUCGACCACUCCCCCCCCCAUUGCAUCUGAAAGCUUCCCAACAUUCAGGCUAGUGGCCAAAGCAAGGGCAGUAUCUUCUUCUUCGACACCACACAACGGGCAUGUAGCAUGUACUAUCAAAUGGCGACAUUUCGUACACUGGUUAGUCCCUAUUUGGAGCACAUUACACAACGAACCAAGUUCCUCGACAAAUACUUCCUCCAAGUGAAUCAUGCCAUGCGACUAGUCAGAGAAGACACCAUUGGGAUGAAGUAUUUCUUCAUGAUGGGGUUGCACCCGAACAUCACGAAAGCUAGUCUGAAACCCCAUGUCUUGAAUCCAUGCUCCAGUUUGCUAAUACCAUGGUCAAAGUGUUUGGAGCGGAGUACUUGAGAGAACCAACUGACAAAGACACCGCAUGACUCAUGGAACUGCCGUAAGCUAGUGGUUGGCCAGGUAUGCUUCAAUUCCUCGAUUGCAUGCACUGGCAAUGGAAGAAUUGUCCCAUAUUCUCUAUAAGGGCAAUAUCAGGCCUAUUGCAAAAAAGCCCGCGAUCAUUCUUGAAGUAGCUGCAUCAUAAGACUUUUGGAUUUGUCACUCUUUCUUUGGGAUUCUCGGGUCUCACAAUGACAUCACUGUGCUGCAGCGGUCUCCAUUGUUUGCAAGGUUGUGUGUGUGGGACAAGCUCUUUCAUGCAACUACACGAUCAAUGGUCAUGAGUACAACAUGGGCUAUUAUCUUUGUGAUAAUAUUUAUCCUUCAUGGGCGACCUUCGUCAAGACCAUAUCUGAUCAAAUGGGUGAGAAAAGAACUCACUUUGCCCAAAGACAAGAAAUGUGCUAGAAAGGAUGACGAGAGGGCAUUUGAAGUGCUCCAAGCCCGUUUUGCAGUUGUUCCUGGACCCGCAUAUGGGAUCCAGAGGCGUUAUGGAAGGUGAUGGCAACUUGUGUGAUUAUACCCAACAUGAUUGUGGAGGAUGAGGGUGACGGAGUUCGCCUCGGUCAGGAAUUUAAGCAUGUGGGUGAUUCUAUACAAUUUUCAGAGCAGAACCUGUUAUCCAAAUGCAUCAACAGAUUCUUCAUCGAGCAACUCAUGAGCAACUUUAGAUCUGGUUGAGCAGAAAACUAAAAAAUAUGUCUGAAUAAGUUGAACUCAAAUUGAAACUAUUUUAUUGAAAAGCUUCACACGAUGGCAUUCCAAACUUGUCAGAUAAGAAUGUUUGCACAUUCUUACUCGGAUUAGAAUCAUAUGGCAAGAUCGCAAAUAACCCCAAUUAAUAUUUAGAUCCUAAAGCUAAAGAACGACAUGAUAUAAUCAUGUUUUGACAACCUUUAUCCUGAUUUCACGGGUUAGGAGGUUGGUGUUCAUGUCACAUUAUCACUAGUUCACUACAAAGACAUGGUUUAAAACAGACUUUGCCAUUAUGUCUGCACUAUAUUCUGUGCGGAUCAUAAUAGUAUUUGCACUACUUGUCAAAGUGUUUACACAUGACGAAGAAAUCACGAGAACGUGAGAGAAAACUGGUGUGUUGGGGACUUUCUAGAAGCUAGUUUUGUACACAGCCGCUACGCGCGUCAUCUUGCAAACACGCGUCACGAUCGAGCCGCGAAGGCCUCGCUCGCCGCCAUGACGGCGACAAACCCACCGCCAGGCGCGCGCACCCCACCGACCGCCGGGGCGCGCCUCCUCAGCUCCGGUGGCGUCAGCGCGCAGGCGCCGAAGUCGCACGGCCCGUUCUCGGCGAUGGUCGCCAUCGCCGGCCCCUUCCUCCGAGCCGGCACGAUCGCCGGCGCCACCGGGCCAAGGCGGCCCUUCUUUGCUGCCCCGACAUCCGCCGGCUGAUCGGCCGUCGCCACGCGGCGCUGCUUCGUCGACGCGGCGCGGAUGAGGUCGUCGGCGCGGUCCGAGCUCGUCCACAGGUGCACGGUCGUGGCCGAUCUGACAAAGCCGGAGCCGCGGCCGCCCGCGACUGCCCCGGCCGGCACGCGGGUGGCGCACCCGGACAUGCCGCGCACGUAGAGGUCGCAGGCGGAGUCGCACGCCCGCGACAGCGCGCGCAUCGGCGCGCCGAUGCAGAGGCACCCGCCCGUCUCGCUGCCGCCGUCCUUGGUCAUCUGCUGCGUACUAGGAGCGUGGAGGUUGCUUCCGACCGACAAUGAAACACAGACGGAGCGCUACUGGUACUGGUACGGUCGUCGAGGUUUCUUGCUCUUUAUAGAGACAACUCGACGGAGGUCUCCGUUAUCUCUGGGUUGAGGUUGAGAAUCGAGCACCCGAUGAUGGGGUUCACACCGGGUUGCUUGUGCAGUCGAGGAGCUUGGUUUUGAAUAUUGCUUGGUUAACCAUGGCGUAAGCGGUUUUUAAUACCGGCGGUAAGGGCGAAAUGGUCAGGAUGCACAUGUAUGUGAUGUAUUUUGGGGCCAUAGAGUGAUAGGGGAGUUGAGCCGGCCAAGUCUCACGAGCGCAGACGCGCUGCAUCGGGUGGUGCCGGGUGCACGCAUAUGUAAGCCGGGGGCUGGUAUCAUUUGUUUUUCUGUUAACAAAACCAGUCGGCCUACUAACUUGGGAUUUUGACGUGCUAAUUAAGCUUAGCAAUCGCCGUUGCUUGUGUCAACGAUGCAAUUGUAAAACAGAGCGAGCGAGCAACCGCGGCAAAGAUAGCGACUUUUUCCCGACUAAUCGUGUUCCCUGACAGAAGCGCUGGCCGUGAGUCAGCCGUUAAUUCUGACAAUGGUGGCAUUUUCCUAAUUUCUUUUGGACAUGGACAAUGGUGGAUCUUUUUUUAACUUGACAAUGGUGGCAACUGGGAAAGAGAGAAAAUGAAAAUAGCAAGACACGAAGCCCGCCACUGUCAUAUCAAUACAUCAUGCUUAAGCAAAACAGAGAGUGACCGCGUUAAGUCAUGGAGUUAUCCCGGCAGAAGAAAAAAAAGUAAUGAAGAACUUAGCACCGGUGUUUUGUGCAAUGCAAGUAAGUAAUGCAUUUCCUUUUUUACCAACAGUCCCCAAGGACCUAGGUAGAAGUGGUUACUCCACAACUAUUACAAUGACCCUACAGAAAUAUAAAAUUAGGCACCAGUCCUUCCUUUGUGCAUAAAGGUCCUUGGAUGGAGAACUAAUAAUACAAUUGAGUCCCCAUGACGAUUCCAACCUUGUCAGAGUAGGUGGAGCCAGCGAUGCCGACAAACAUCACCUUGUCAUUACUCUUGGGACUGUGCUCAUGAGACUUGCUAUGAAUUUCCACUAUGUGCAACAUGUGUUGGGGCAGGGCAUCCCUAUCUUGGAGGUUCAAGUAAGAGGUGUGUGGGAUCGGUGCCAAGCCAACGAUCAACCCAAGAACGCCUCGAUGCACUCUCUAGACAUAUGAUAUUAGGGGUCUUCAACUCCAGCAAACAUCGACAUUGUGUGAUGGACGAUGGGGGGUGGGGGCGAUUUCACUAGAAGCUCGUCUAUCCCUUUGAUCGAUGACAACUUCUAGAAGAUAAAGCUUGUCGUGGAAGGACAGAUUCAGAGCAAAGCUUCAUGAGGGAGAGCUCAAGCUCCGCUGUCGCAUCAUCAUCACUAUGGCCCGGGGAGAAGAAGCUCGGAGCUAUCACUCACAGAGCACUCACUAUGUCUGCAUGUCACUUUAUUUAGCGCCAAUGACACCAAACACGGGAUACCUAGGGUAAUAUGCAUAUAUUUGAGGGACCCUAGGGCUACCCACCUUGUCUUUCCGGCAGCCGGAGCCACAUGCGAAGGAGAAGGUCAGGGGAACCCUCACGAAGGAUGAAAGAAACUGACUUAUGGGCAAGUCGUUUUUCUCUCAAACUUAUUGCGGUUAGUAAUGUAUUGGUGGGUUGUAGAAUGAUUUCAAUCGGUAAGUCUAUUUUAAACCUUGAACUCCUAGAGCCAUUCGUAAUCAUAUCCUGAAGUCCUCGUAGCUGAAAUGGGCACCAUGUAAUUUGAACCCGGGCAAUCCCGACACUAGACUUGUUUGUCCCUCCGGGGAAGGAGGAUCCCGGUAGGGAUUAUUUUCCCGACUAAGCAGGCACACCCCAUGAUCUCUCGAGCUACCACUCACUCACCCCCUCACGUGCCUUGCGCCUAGCCACAUGCACUCAAGCGGUCGUGCACACGAGCCAAACCACAUGUAGAACUUGCCAUCUCUCGUGGGAGCUCCUAUUUGACACUCUUUGUUUAAAAUAGAAGCGCACAACACAUGGGGCUCCCCGAAUGGGCUGACUCAGUAGCGAGUGGCACUUUGUAGCACAAACAAUGGAAAAUCCCAAGAAUGUCGUGCGAUGAACUUUGGUGUCUUGUAGUCAGCGUAGCAACAUUGAAACUAUCAACACCAAUAGAUCAAAACAUUUUUGAAAUAUCAAAUGAGAUUUUUUUUAAAUUAAAUAUUUUUUAGAAUGUGAACAUUAACAACUUUGUCAAAAAAAGUAAAACACAAACAUUUUUGGAAACCUCAAAUAUUUUCUUAAAAUGCAAAUAUUUUUGAAUCUCUGAACAUUUUCAGAAAUUUUGCAAAUGCAAUCAUUUUCCAAGAAAAUAAACAUUUUUUAAAAAAUUGGAAACAUUUUUUUAAAUGCGAGAUUUUUUCUAAAAAGAAAAAAUUGUCUGGAUUUGUCAACAAUUUUUGAAAAAAUGCAAGCAAUUUCCGAAAUUACAAUUAUUUUGGAACUUGAGCAAUUUUGAAAUUUUGAACUGUUCUUUUAAUAUAAAUUGAAUAUUGUUUGAAAUUUGAAAAGAAAAGAAACAGAAAACCAGAACAAACAGAAGGAAAAAACCAAACAACCAGAACAAAACAGAAAACCCGGAUCCUAAAACAAGAAAAAACAAAGAUUCACAUUUUGCUCUAAAUGGGCUGGCCCAUAUCUCGUUCGCAUGCCUGGUUUUCUCUUGAAUGAAGGAAAAAAAGGAUUUUCCUUCAGGAAACAGUGUUUUGCUGCAAGAAGCACAACUAUACCCCCCAAAAAGGAAAAUGCACGUCACAUGCUUUCCGAAAAGGAAAAAAACAAGCAUAGAUGUGCUUUUCCCGACCGUUGUGCUUCUUUGAAAAAAAGAAAAGCAAAACUUUUGAAAAUACAACUGUGCUUCCCUGGAAAAGGAAAAAUCACAGCUUCUGAUUCCACGAGAAGCACAAUUGUUUCCCCAGAAAUGGAAACGCAAAGCAUGUGCUUCGCAAAAAGGAAAAAAAAACACAAAUGUGCUUCCAGAAAAACUGAAAAAGCACAAUUGUGCUUCCAGGUUCCAGUUUUUUUCGGUUUCCUUUUGUUUUCAUUUUUUCAUUCCAUUUGUUUGUGACAAAAUUGUUGAAACCUAUUACUAUGAAAUAUGUUCGAAGAUAUUGCCACGGGAAAUUCAAUGGUGAAAACGGUUCGUGAUUUAGAUGCAUGGUUCAAAAUAUAAAACAUUUUAAGAAAAUAAAUUCACCAAAAGAAAACUCUCAGGUUGCGCGACAACUAAUGCACAUACAAUGUGUCAUUUGUAAACAUGAGGGCAAAGAUGGAGUGACUUUUACAAGAGAUACUUGCCAAUCAGUAAUUUCACUAAAUUUCAUCUCUGGCUGCCCACUCGAAGAUGUGCAACAUCACAACCGCCACGGCUCGCACUGAGGCCCGUUUGGAGCCCAAGGCCUGGUUAGUUCCCGCCGCAGCCCGAGGAGCUUCCCCAACGCGGGCGAGACUAGAAUGAGAUCAGCAAAACGGGUGAGAUCUUGCGAUCCAGCUAGAAGAGCCAUUGGAUUAAGAGCCGAUGGUACAGAUCGAGAAAGGUGGGAUGUGGUGGACAUUUUGCAUGAACCUCCUCGUCAUACGGAAAUAUUGCAGGCAGAGCUGUACCCCAACACUAACUCUCUCUUUGCUGGACCAGUGCACGCACGCCAGCAUCCAUGGAUUUGUUUAAAGAUUUUGAUUCAUGGAGCUGACACCGAAGCCUCAGUCGACUGUUUCCUUCUUCCUUUUCUUAGACACUUUUCUAAUCUACUGCUUUUCACCUAAUUCAGAAAUAUAUGUGAUGAAUCUAAUAUGAAAUUCUUUCUUUCAGCCACUGUUAAAACUAAAAGCUGUACCAACCCACUGAAAACAUCAAAUCAGCAGGAAAUGGAGUAGUUAUAUUUACAACAUACACGCCAGAGAUGCAAUGGCUUAUAUAAUUAGCCCAUUGAACCAGUUAAAUGGUGUUCGACCAUUGAAGCUAUCUUGUAUUUUCCAUUACCGUCCUGAUUGACAUAAAUGUGAGCUUCACAUCCACACCUAGUUACUUUGACGUUGCAGCUUUUUUUGAAGGAUUUUUAUCCAAGCAGUUAACAAUGCACUUGUCUUUUGAGGUCUGAUGCCCCUCCCUUGACUAUAAGAAAUACUUCCAAUGAAUUUCAUUAUUCACCAACCUUUGCGCCCUGAGGCGGACAUCAAAUCUCACAUGAUGUGCAUACUUCUUGUAAAAUGCCUGCACAGCAACAAUAUCAUCAAAUUGCAUACCUACGGCUGGUUUGAGCGCAUCAUCACACACGGGUUUGUACAAUGAACCCUGCAAAUCAAAAGAUUUUUUUAUUAAACACAACCUUCGUACUUGGGAAAGAUCGAGGCUGGAGUAUGGAUGCAAGUUUUGUGUAUUUAACAUGCCUAAUGAUUCUAGACAAGUAAACAUUUGCAUUCGUUGAUUGUGGAGUACAUAUUUUCUCCAUUUUGAGAAAAAUAUUUAUGAGAUAUUAUGUGCUCAUGUCACAAGUAUACACACAGAAAUGCAUGCGUCCAUUAUAUUACAAUCUGCAGUGUACUUACAUCUACAGAAAACAGGCACUGACCUUCACAUGGAGCUUACGUGAGGACNNNNNNNNNNNNNNNNNNNNNNNNNNNNNNNNNNNNNNNNNNNNNNNNNNNNNNNNNNNNNNNNNNNNNNNNNNNNNNNNNNNNNNNNNNNNNNNNNNNNNNNNNNNNNNNNNNNNNNNNNNNNNNNNNNNNNNNNNNNNNNNNNNNNNNNNNNNNNNNNNNNNNNNNNNNNNNNNNNNNNNNNNNNNNNNNNNNNNNNNNNNNNNNNNNNNNNNNNNNNNNNNNNNNNNNNNNNNNNNNNNNNNNNNNNNNNNNNNNNNNNNNNNNNNNNNNNNNNNNNNNNNNNNNNNNNNNNNNNNNNNNNCUCUCCCGCAGGGCGACUUAGGCGGCGACCAGAUCCGCCCGGCCUCGGCUCCCCUUCCCAGCCCCUUCCCCUCGCCGCCGCCGGUGGUCACCUCCGGCAAAGCCCGGCCUAGUGACGGCGGCGGCGGGGAUUCUCCCUUCGUGGCUCGGUGUGCAGCGGAGGUAGCGUUGGGGCGGCGGCCCCGCUCUGCGGCGGAUCUGGCCGGCGCGCUGGAUCCUGGCCUGCAGCUGGCUGUGGGCGUCAGGGCUGCGUUCCCUGGCGUCGCGCGUGGUGGUCGCGCCGUCUACGGGCCGCUCGGGUGGCGUGGCGGCGGGGCCAGGCCCAUUUCUCUCUUUCCUGCCAGAUCCAAGUCAGGGGCAGCUAGGUGCGUCCUCUGCUCACGUCCUCCCGCGGAUCUCGCACUCCCUGACGCGCCUUGCGCGGUUCCACCCAUGUUGGCUGCUUCGGUGGUCUGGUGUUAGACCGGCAGGCGCUCGAUCUGUUGGGGAACGUAGUAAUUUCAAAAAAAUUCCUACGCACACAUAGGAUCAUGGUGAUGCAUAGCAACAAGAGGGGAGAGUGUGUCCAUGUACCCUCGUAGACCGAAAGCGGAAGCGUUAGCACAACGCGGUUGAUGUAGUCAUACGUCUUCACGAUCCGACCGAUCCAAGUACCGAACGCACGGCACCUCCGAGUUCAGCACACGUUCAACUCGAUGACGUCCCGCGAGCUCCGAUCCAGCAAAGCUUCGCCAGAGAGUUUUGUCAGCACGACGGCGUGAUGACGGUGAUGAUGAUGCUACCGACGCAGGGCUUCGCCUAAGCACCGCUACGAUAUGAUCGUGGUGGAUUAUGGUGGAGGGGAGCACCGCACACGGCUGGGAGAGAUCAACAGAUUAACUUGUGUGUCUAGAGGUGCCCCCUGCCCCCGUAUAUAAAGGAGUAAGGAGGGGAGGCCGGCCGGCUCCUGUAGGCGCGCCAGGAGGAGGAGUCCUCCUCCUAGUAGGAGUAGGACUCCCCUCUUUCCUACUCCGACUAGGAGGGGAAAAGGAAGGGGGAGAGGGAGAAGGAAAGGGGGGAGCCGCCCCCCCUCUCCUAGUCCAAUUCGGACCAGAGGGGGGGGGGCGUGCGGCCUGCCCUAGGCCAGCCCUCUAUCUCUCCACUAAGGCCCAUAAGGCCCACUAUUUCUCCCGGGGGGUUCCGGUAACCCUCUGGCACUCCGGUUUUAUCCGAAACCACCCGGAACACUUCCGGUGUCCGAAUAUAGUCGUCCAAUACAUCGAUCUUUACGUCUCGACCAUUUCGAGACUCCUCUUCAUGUCCGUGAUCAUAUCCGGGACUCCGAACUACCUUCGGUACAUCAAAACACAAAAACUCAUAAUACCGAUCGUCACCGAACUUUGAGCGUGCGGACCCUACGGGUUCGAGAACUAUGUAGACAUGACCGAGACACAUCUCCGGUCAAUAACCAAUAGCGGAACCUGGAUUCUCAUAUUGGCUCCCACAUAUUCUACGAAGAUCUUUAUCGGUCAAACCGCAUAACAACAUACGUUGUUCCCUUUGUCAUCGGUAUGUUACUUGUCCGAGAUUCGAUCGUCGGUAUCUCAAUACCUAGCUCAAUCUCGUUACCGGCAAGUCUCUUUAUUCGUUACGUAAUGCAUCAUCCCGCAACUAACUCAUUAGUCACAUUGCUUGCAAGGCUUAUUAUGAUGUGCAUUACCGAGAGGGCCCAGAGAUACCUCUCCAACAAUCGGAGUAACAAAUCCUAAUCUCGAUCUAUGCCAACUCAACAAGUAUCAUCGGAGACACCGGUAGAGCACCUUUAUAUUCACCCAGUUACAUUGUGACGUUUGGUAGCACACAAAGUGUUCCUCCGGUAAUCGGGAGUUGCAUAAUCUCAUAGUCAUAGGAACAUGUAUAAGUCAUGAAGAAAGCAAUAGCAGUAACUAAACGAUCAAGUGCUAAGCUAACGGAAUGGGUCAAGUCAAUCACAUCAUUCUCCUAAUGAUGUGAUCCCGUUAAUCAAAUGACAACUCAUGUCUAUGGUUAGGAAACUUAACCAUCUUUGAUUAACGAGCUAGUCAAGUAGAGGCAUACUAGUGACACUAUGUUUGUCUAUGUAUUCACACAUGUAUUAUGUUUCCGAUUAAUACAAUUCUAGCAUGAAUAAUAAACAUUUAUCAUGAUAUGAGGAAAUAAAUAAUAACUUUAUUAUUGCCUCUAGGGCAUAUUACCUUCAGUCUCCCACUUGCACUAGAGUCAAUAAUCUAGAUUACAUAGUAAUGAUUCUAACACCCAUGGAGUUUUGGUGCUGAUCAUGUUUUGCUCGUGGAAGAGGUUUAGUCAACGGGUCUGCAACAUUCAGAUCCGUAUGUAUCUUGCAAAUCUCUAUGUCUCCCACCUGGACUUGAUCCCGGAUGGAAUUGAAGCGUCUCUUGAUGUGCUUGGUUCUCUUGUGAAAUCUGGAUUCCUUUGCCAAGCCCAGAAUUGCUGUUUUUUGCCUAUUUCAGAGUUUCGCAGAAAAAGAAUAUCAAACGGAGUCCAAACGGAAUGAAACCUUCGGGAACGUGAUUUCCGGAACGAACGUGAUCCAGAGGACUUGGACCCUACGUCAAGACAUCAACCAGGAGGGCACGAGGUAGGGGGGCACGCAUACCCCCCUGGGCGCGCCCUCCACCCUCGUGGGCCCCUGUUGCUCCACCGACGUAGUCCUUCCUCCUAUAUAUACCUACGUACCCCCAAACUACCAGAUACGGAGCCAAAAACCUAAUUCCACCGCGGCAACCUUCUGUACUUGUGAGAUCCCAUCUUGGGGCCUGUUCCGGAGCUCCGCCAGAGGGGGCAUCGAUCACGGAGGGCUUCUACAUCAACACCAUAGCCUCUCCGAUGAUGUGUGAGUAGUUUACCUCAGACCUUCGGGUCCAUAGUUAUUAGCUAGAUGGCUUCUUCUUCUCUCUUUUUGGAUCUCAAUACAAUGUUCUGCCCCUCUCUCGUGGAGAUCUAUUUGGUGUAAUCUUCUUUUGCGGUGUGUUUGUUGAGACCGAUGAAUUGUGGGUUUAUGAUCAAGAUUAUCUAUGAACAAUAUUUGAAUCUUCUCUGAAUUCUUUUAUGUAUGAUUGGUUAUCUUUGCAAGUCUCUUCGAAUUAUCAGAUUGGUUUGGCCUACUAGAUUGAUCUUUCUUGCAAUGGGAGAAGUGCUUAGCUUUGGGUUCAAUCUUGCGGUGUCCUUUCCCAGUGACAGUAGGGGCAACAAGGCACGUAUUGUAUUGUUGCCAUCGAGGAUAACAAGAUGGGGUUUAUAUCAUAUUGCAUGAGUUUAUCCCUCUACAUCAUGUCAUCUUGCUUAAAGCGUUACUCUGUUCUUAUGAACUUAAUACUCGAGAUGCAUGCUGGAUAGCUGUUGAUGUGUGGAGUAAUAGUAGUAGAUGCAGGCAGGAGUCGGUCUACUUGUCUCGGACGUGAUGCCUAUAUACAUGAUCAUACCUAGAUAUUCUCAUAACUAUGCUCAAUUCUGUCAAUUGCUCAACAGUAAUUUGUUCACCCACCGUAAAUACUUAUGCUCUUGAGAGAAGCCACUAGUGAAACCUAUGGCCCCCGGGUCUAUUUUCCAUCAUAUUAAUCUUCCAACACUUAGUUAUUUUUAUUGCCUUUUAUUUUACUUUGCAUCUUUAUCAUAAAAAAUACCAAAAAUAUUAUCUUAUCAUAUCUAUCAGAUCUCACUCUCAUAAGUGACCGUGUAGGGAUUGACAACCCCUUAUCGCGUUGGUUGCGAGGAUUUAUUUAUUUGUGUAGGUGCGAGGGACUCGUGCGUGGCCUCCUACUGGAUUGAUACCUUGGUUCUCAAAAACUGAGGGAAAUACUUACACUACUUUGCUGCAUCACCCUUUCCUCUUCAAGGGAAAACCAACGCAGUGCUCAAGAGGUAGCAAGAAGGAUUUCUGGCGCCGUUGCCGGGGAGGUCUACGCAAAAGUCAACAUACCAAGUACCCAUCACAAACCCUUAUCUACCGCAUUACAUUAUUUGCCAUUUGCCUCUCGUUUUCCUCUCCCCCACUUCACCCUUGCCGUUUUAUUCGGCCUCUCUUUUCCGUUUGCUUGUCGUUAUGGCUUGUCCCCUAUCUUCUCCGUUAUCUCCCGAGAAUGAAGUUCUUAAUUUUAAACAAAGGGAAGGAGAAAAUUUAAAAGACGCUUGGUAUAGGAUUUGCAAUGCUCAAAAUAGAUCUACCAGGAAGCAAUCCACUUCCGUUCUUCUCCGCAAUUUUUACGUAGGCACUACUCCUUGGUACAGAUAUAUCCUUGAUACCAUUAAUGGAGGGAAUUUCUUGGUUUGCCAUACUUUUGAUUCUUAUAAUGCUAUGAUAGAUUUGUUUGGCUCACCCCCUCUUAUGAUUAAUGGAACUAUGUUAACUUUGGAGCAUGUAAUGCAAAGACUUGAAAUAAUUGAAAAUAAAGUUGCUACCGUAGAGCUAAUUGAAAAUUUGGAUAAAAGGAUCCACAACCGAAUCACUCAAUAUGGAUCUAAAGUAGGAGUCACUUUGAAAAAUAUUAAGGAGAAGGAACUCAUAGUUAAUGAGAAAAUAAAUCAGGAUUCCACUAGAAUCGAUAAACUUGAGAAUAUCAUUACCAACUUGGGAACCGCUUUUUCCUCCGUAAAGAAUACUCCAAGUCCUCCAACUAAAAUUGCCAAGCUUAUGUAUGUUCCUAAAAAUAAGGGUGAAUCCUCUAGUAAGGAAACUGCGGAUCUCAAAUCUAUAAGUAUUCAUCCCAAUCUUUUUGCUAUCAUUAAGGAACCAAUUGUUACAAAUGAAUUUUUUGAUCUUGUUCCUAAAAGUUUCAUAAUUACUAAAAAUAAAGAAACUCUUAAGGAUGAUAGAUGCCUCAUUAAAAAAUUGCCUACAAAAGAUGGCAAUACCUAGAUCUAUCCUUGCUUUUAUGCCUAGCUAGGGGCGUUAAACGAUAUCGCUUGUUGGGAGGCAACCCAAUUUUAUUUUUAGUUUUUUUUUCUUUUUUCUUCUGUUUAGGAAUAGAUCUUUCAUCUAGCCUCUGGUUAUAUGUCUUUUUAUGUUUUAAUUAGUGUUUGUGCCAAGUUAAACCUAUAGGAUCUUCUUGGAUGAUAGUUAUUUGAUCUUGCUGAAAAUUCCAGAAACUUUCUGUUCACGAAAAUAAUUGUUAAAAAUCACCAUAAUGUGAUAAAAUAUUGAUUCCAAUUGCUUCUGAUCAAUAAACAAAUUUUCUAGAUCUUCCUUUUUUGGCUGAAUUUUUGGAGUUCCAGAAGUUUGCGUUAGUUACAGAUUACUACAGACUGUUCUGUUUUUGACAGAUUCUGUUUUUCGUGUGUUGUUUGCUUAUUUUGAUGAAUCUAUGGCUAGUAAAAUAGUUUAUAAACCAUAGAGAAGUUAUAAUACAGUAGGUUUAACACCAAUAUAAAUAGAUAAUGAGUUCAUUACAGUACCUUGAAGUGGUCUUUUGUUUUCUUUCGCUAACGGAGCUCACGAGAUUUUCUGGUAAGUUUUGUGUUGUGAAGUUUUCAAGUUUUGGGUUAAAGAUUUGAUGGAUUAUGGAACAAGGAGUGGCAAGAGCCUAAGCUUGGGGAUUCCCAUGGCACCCCAAGAUAAUCUAAGGACACCUAAAAGCCAAAGCUUGGGGAUGCCCCGGAAGCCAUCCCCUCUUUUGUCUACUUCCAUCGGUAACUUUACUUGGAGCUAUAUUUUUAUUCACCACAUGAUAUGUGUUUUGCUUGGAGCGUCUUGUAUGAUUUGAGUCUUUGCUUUUUAGUUUAUCACAAUCAUCCUUGCUGUACACACCUUUUGAGAGAGACACACAUGAUUCGGAAACUAUUAGAAUACUCUAUGUGCUUCACUUAUAUCUUUCGAGUUAUAUAGUUUUUGCUCUAGUACUUCACUUAUAUAUUUUAGAGCACGGUGGUGGUUUUGUUUUAUAGAAACUAUUAUUCUCUCAUGCUUCACUUAUAUUAUUUUGAGAGUCUUAAAUAGCAUGGUAAUUUACUUAAAUAAUCCUAAUAUGCUAGGUAUUCAAUACUAGUAAAAACUUUCUUGUGAGUGUAUUGAAUACUAAGAGAAGUUUGAUGCUUGAUGAUUGUUUUGAGACAUGGAGGUAGUGAUAUCAAAGUUGUGCUAGUUGAGUAGUUGUGAAUUUGAGAAAUACUUGUGUUGAAGUUUGCAAGUCCCAUAGCAUGCACGUAUGGUAAACAUUAUGUAACAAAUUUGAAACAUGAGGUGUUCUUUGAUUGUCCUCCUUAUGAGUGGCGGUCGGGGACGAGCGAUGGUCUUUUCCUACAAAUCUAUCCCCCUAGGAACAUGCGCGUAGUGCUUGGUUUUUGAUGACUUGUAGAUUUUUGCAAUAAGUAUGUGAGUUCUUUAUGACUAAUGUUGUGUCCAUGGAUUAUACGCACUCUCACCUUUCCAUCAUUGCUAGCCUCUUCGGUACCGUGCAUUGCCCUUUCUCACAUUGAGAGAUGGUGCAAACUUCGCCGGUGCAUCCAAACCCCGUGAUAUGAUACGCUCUUUCACACAUAAACCUCCUUAUAUCUUCCUCAAAAAAGCCACCGUACCUACCUAUUAUGGCAUUUCCAUAGCCAUUCCGAGAUAUAUUGCCAUGCAACUUUCCAUCGUUCCGUUUAUCAUGACACGUUCAUCCUUGUCAUAUUGCAUUGCAUGAUCAUGUAGUUGACAUAGUAUUUGUGGCAAAGCCACCAUUCAUAAUUCUUUCAUACAUGUCACUCUUGGUUCAUUGCAUAUCCCGGUACACCGCCGGAGGCAUUCAUAUAGAGUCGUACUUUGUUCUAAGUAUCGAGUUGUAAUCAUUGAGUUGUAAAUAAAUAGAAGUGUGAUGAUCAUCAUUUUCUAGAGCAUUGUCCCAAGUGAGGAAAAAAAAGAGAAAGGCCCAAAAAAAUGAGAGAAAAAGAGAGAAGGGACAAUGUUACUAUCCUUUUACCACACUUGUGCUUGAAAGUAGCACCAUAAUCUUCAUGAUAGAGAGUCCUUUGUUUUGUCACUUUCAUAUACUAGUGGGAACCUUUCAUUAUAGAACUUGGCUUGUAUAUUCCAACAAUGAGCUUCGUCAAAUGCCCUAGGUCUUCGUGAGCAAGCAAUUUGGAUGCACACCCACUUAGUUUCUUUUGUUGAGCUUUCAUAUAUUUAUAGCUCUAGUGCAUCUGUUGCAUGGUAUCCCUACUCCUUGCAUUAACAUCAAUUGAUGGGCAUCUCCAUAGCUCAUUGAUUAGCCUCGUUGAUGUGAGACUUUCUCCUUUUUUGUCUUCUCCAUAUAGCCCCCAUCGUUAUAUUCUAUUCCACCCAUAGUGCUAUAUCCAUGGCUCACGCUCAUGUAUUGUGUGAAGGUUGAAAAAGUUUGAGAUUACUAAAGUAUGAAACAAUUGCUUGGCUUGACAUCGGGGUUGUGCAUGAUGAGAGCAUUCUUGUGUGACGAAAAUGGAGCAUGACUAAACUAUAUGAUUUUGUAGGGAUGAACUUUCUUUGGCCAUGCUAUUUUGAGAGGACAUAAUUGCUUAGUUAGUAUGCCUGAUGUAUUAUUAUUUUUAUCUCAAUAUUGAACUUUUAUCUUGAAUCUUUCGGAUCUGAAUAUUCAUACCACAAUUAAGAAGAAAUAGAUUGAAAUUAUGCCAAGUAGCAUUCCACAUAAAAAAUUCUGUUUUUAUCAUUUACCUACUCAAGGACGAGCAGGAAUUAAGCUUGGGGAUGCUUGAUACGUCUCCAACGUAUCUAUAAUUUUUGAUUGUUCCAUGCUAUAUUAUAUUCCGUUUUGGACAUUAUUGGGCUUUAUUAUACAAUUUCAUAUUAUUUUUGGGACUAACCUAUUAACCGGAGGCCCAGCCCAGAAUUGCUGUUUUUUGCCUAUUUAAGAGUUUCGCAGAAAAAGAAUAUCAAACGGAGUCCAAACAGAAUGAAACCUUCGGGAACGUGAUUUUCGGAACGAACGUGAUCCAGAGGACUUGGACCCUACGUCAAGACAUCAACCAGGAGGGCACAAGGUAGGGGGGCGCGCAUACCCCCCUGGGCGCGCCCUCCACCCUCGUGGGCCCCUGUUGCUCCACCGACGUAGUCCUUCCUCCUAUAUAUACCUACGUACCCCCAAACUACCAGAUACGGAGCCAAAAACCUAAUUCCACCGCGGCAACCUUCUGUACUUGUGAGAUCCCAUCUUGGGGCCUGUUCCGGAGCUCCGCCAGAGGGGGCAUCGAUCACGGAGGGCUUCUACAUCAACACCAUAGCCUCUCCGAUGAUGUGUGAGUAGUUUACCUCAGACCUUCGGGUCCAUAGUUAUUAGCUAGAUGGCUUCUUCUUCUCUCUUUUUGGAUCUCAAUACAAUGUUCUGCCCCUCUCUCGUGGAGAUCUAUUUGGUGUAAUCUUCUUUUGCGGUGUGUUUGUUGAGACCGAUGAAUUGUGGGUUUAUGAUCAAGAUUAUCUAUGAACAAUAUUUGAAUCUUCUCUGAAUUCUUUUAUGUAUGAUUGGUUAUCUUUGCAAGUCUCUUCGAAUUAUCAGAUUGGUUUGGCCUACUAGAUUGAUCUUUCUUGCAAUGGGAGAAGUGCUUAGCUUUGGGUUCAAUCUUGCGGUGUCCUUUCCCAGUGACAGUAGGGGCAGCAAGGCACGUAUUGUAUUGUUGCCAUCGAGGAUAACAAGAUGGGGUUUAUAUCAUAUUGCAUGAGUUUAUCCCUCUACAUCAUGUCAUCUUGCUUAAAGCGUUACUCUGUUCUUAUGAACUUAAUACUCGAGAUGCAUGCUGGAUAGCUGUUGAUGUGUGGAGUAAUAGUAGUAGAUGCAGGCAGGAGUCGGUCUACUUGUCUCGGACGUGAUGCCUAUAUACAUGAUCAUACCUAGAUAUUCUCAUAACUAUGCUCAAUUCUGUCAAUUGCUCAACAGUAAUUUGUUCACCCACCGUAAAUACUUAUGCUCUUGAGAGAAGCCACUAGUGAAACCUAUGGCCCCCGGGUCUAUUUUCCAUCAUAUUAAUCUUCCAACACUUAGUUAUUUUUAUUGCCUUUUAUUUUACUUUGCAUCUUUAUCAUAAAAAAUACCAAAAAUAUUAUCUUAUCAUAUCUAUCAGAUCUCACUCUCAUAAGUGACCGUGUAGGGAUUGACAACCCCUUAUCGCGUUGGUUGCGAGGAUUUAUUUAUUUGUGUAGGUGCGAGGGACUCGUGCGUGGCCUCCUACUGGAUUGAUACCUUGGUUCUCAAAAACUGAGGGAAAUACUUACACUACUUUGCUGCAUCACCCUUUCCUCUUCAAGGGAAAACCAACGCAGUGCUCAAGAGGUAGCAAGAAGGAUUUCUGGCGCCGUUGCCGGGGAGGUCUACGCAAAAGUCAACAUACCAAGUACCCAUCACAAACCCUUAUCUACCGCAUUACAUUAUUUGCCAUUUGCCUCUCGUUUUCCUCUCCCCCACUUCACCCUUGCCGUUUUAUUCGGCCUCUCUUUUCCGUUUGCUUGUCGUUAUGGCUUGUCCCCUAUCUUCUCCGUUAUCUCCCGAGAAUGAAGUUCUUAAUUUUAAACAAAGGGAAGGAGAAAAUUUAAAAGACGCUUGGUAUAGGAUUUGCAAUGCUCAAAAUAGAUCUACCAGGAAGCAAUCCACUUCCGUUCUUCUCCGCAAUUUUUAUGUAGGCACUACUCCUUGGUACAGAUAUAUCCUUGAUACCAUUACUGGAGGGAAUUUCUUGGGUAGCCAUACUUUUGAUUCUUAUAAUGCUAUGAUAGAUUUGUUUGGCUCACCCCCUCUUAUGAUUAAUGGAACUAUGUUAACUUUGGAGCAUGUAAUGCAAAGACUUGAAAUAAUUGAAAAUAAAGUUGCUACCGUAGAGCUAAUUGAAAAUUUGGAUAAAAGGAUCCACAACCGAAUCACUCAAUAUGGAUCUAAAGUAGGAGUCACUUUGAAAAAUAUUAAGGAGAAGGAACUCAUAGUUAAUGAGAAAAUAAAUCAUGAUUCCACUAGAAUCGAUAAACUUGAGAAUAUCAUUACCAACUUGGGAACCGCUUUUUCCUCCGUAAAGAAUACUCCAGGUCCUCCAACUAAAAUUGCCAAGCUUAUGUAUGUUCCUAAAAAUAAGGGUGAAUCCUCUAGUAAGGAAAUUGCGGAUCUCAAAUCUAUAAGUAUUCAUCCCAAUCUUUUUGCUAUCAUUAAGGAACCAAUUGUUACAAAUGAAUUUUUUGAUCUUGUGCCUAAAAGUUUGAUAAUUAAUAAAAAUAAAGAAACUCUUAAGGAUGAUAGAUUCCUCAUUAAAGAAUUGCCUACCAAAGAUGGCAAUACCUAGAUCUAUCCUUGCUUUUAUGCCUAGCUAGGGGCGUUAAACGAUAGCGCUUGUUGGGAGGCAACCCAAUUUUAUUUUUAGUUUUUUUUUGCUUUUUGCUUCUGUUUAGGAAUAAAUCUUUCAUCUAGACUCUGGUUAGAUGUCUUUUUAUGUUUUAAUUAGUGUUUGUGCCAAGUUAAACCUAUAGGAUCUUCUUGGAUGAUAGUUAUUUGAUCCUGCUGAAAAUUCCAGUAACUUUCUGUUCACGAAAAUAAUUGUUAAAAAUCACCAUAACGUGAUAAAAUAUUGACUCCAAUUGCGGCUGAUCAAUAAACAAAUUGUCUAGAUCGUCCUAUUUUGGCUGAAUUUUUGGAGUUCCAGAAGUUCGCGUUAGUUACAGAUUACUACAGACUGUUCUGUUUUUGACAGAUUCUGUUUUUCGUGUGUUGUUUGCUUAUUUUGAUGAAUCUAUGGCUAGUAAAAUAGUUUAUAAACCAUAGAGAAGUUAUAAUACAGUAGGUUUAACACCAAUAUAAAUAGAUAAUGAGUUCAUUACAGUACCUUGAAGUGGUCUUUUGUUUUCUUUCGCUAACGGAGCUCACGAGAUUUUCUGGUAAGUUUUGUGUUGUGAAGUUUUCAAGUUUUGGGUUAAAGAUUUGAUGGAUUAUGGAACAAGGAGUGGCAAGAGCCUAAGCUUGGGGAUGCCCAUGGCACCCCAAGAUAAUCUAAGGACACCUAAAAGCCAAAGCUUGGGGAUGCCCCGGAAGGCAUCCCCUCUUUUGUCUACUUCCAUCGAUAACUUUACUUGGAGCUAUAUUUUUAUUCACCACAUGAUAUGUGUUUUGCUUGGAGAGUCUUGUAUGAUUUGAGUCUUUGCUUUUUAGUUUAUCACAAUCAUCCUUGCUGUACACACCUUUUGAGAGAGACACACAUGAUUCGGAAACUAUUAGAAUAUUCUAUGUGCUUCACUUAUAUCUUUUGAGUUAUAUAGUUUUUGCUCUAGUACUUCACUUAUAUCUUUUAGAGCACGGUGGUGGUUUUGUUUUAUAGAAACUAUUAUUCUCUCAUGCUUCACUUAUGUUAUUUUGAGAGUCUUAAAUAGCAUGGUAAUUUACUUAAAUAAUCCUAAUAUGCUAGGUAUUCAAUACUAGUAAAAACUUUCUUAUGAGUGUGUUGAAUACUAAGAGAAGUUUGAUGCUUGAUGAUUGUUUUGAGACAUGGAGUUAGUGAUAUCAAAGUUGUGCUAGUUGAUUAGUUGUGAAUUUGAGAAAUACUUGUGUUGAAGUUUGCAAGUCCCAUAGCAUGCACGUAUGGUAAACAUUAUGUAACAAAUUUGAAACAUGAGGUGUUCUUUGAUUGUCCUCCUUAUGAGUGGCGGUCGGGGACGAGCGAUGGUCUUUUCCUACCAAUCUAUCCCCCUAGGAGCAUGCGCGUACUGCUUGGUUUUUUAUGACUUGUAGAUUUUUGCAAUAAGUAUGUGAGUUCUUUAUGACUAAUGUUGAGUCCAUGGAUUAUACGCACUCUCACCUUUCCAUCAUUGCUAGCCUCUUCGGUACCGUGCAUUGCCCUUUCUCACAUUGAGAGAUGGUGCAAACUUCUCCGGUGCAUCCAAACCCCGUGAUAUGAUACGCUCUUUCACACAUAAACCUCCUUAUAUCUUCCUCAAAACAGCCACCAUACCUACCUAUUAUGGCAUUUCCAUAGCCAUUCCGAGAUAUAUUGCCAUGCAACUUUCCACCGUUCCGUUUAUCAUGACACGUUCAUCAUUGUCAUAUUGCAUUGCAUGAUCAUGUAGUUGACAUAGUAUUUGUGGCAAAGCCACCAUUCAUAAUUCUUUCAUACAUGUCACUCUUGGUUCAUUGCAUAUCCCGGUACACCGCCGGAGGCAUUCAUAUAGAGUCAAACUUUGUUCUAAGUAUCGAGUUGUAAUCAUUGAGUUGUAAAUAAAUAGAAGUGUGAUGAUCAUCAUUUUCUCGAGCAUUGUCCCAAGUGAGGAAAAAAAAGAGAAAGGCCCAAAAAAUGAGAGAAAAAGAGAGAAGGGACAAUGUUACUAUCCUUUUACCACACUUGUGCUUCAAAGUAGCACCAUAAUCUUCAUGAUAGAGAGUCCUUUGUUUUGUCACUUUCAUAUACUAGUGGGAACCUUUCAUUAUAGAACUUUGCUUGUAUAUUCCAACAACGGGCUUCGUCAAAUGCCCUAGGUCUUCGUGAGCAAGCAAGUUGGAUGCACACCCACUUAGUUUCUUUUGUUGAGCUUUCAUAUAUUUAUAGCUCUAGUGCAUCUGUUGCAUGGCAAUCCCUACUCCUUGCAUUAACAUCAAUUGAUGGGCAUCUCCAUAGCUCAUUGAUUAGCCUCGUUGAUGCGAGACUUUCUCCUUUUUUGUCUUCUCCACAUAACCCCCAUCAUUAUAUUCUAUUCCACCCAUAGUGCUAUAUCCAUGGCUCAUGCUCAUGUAUUGCGUGAAGGUUGAAAAAGUUUGAGAUUACUAAAGUAUGAAACAAUUGCUUGGCUUGUCAUCGGGGUUGUGCAUGAGAGCAUUCUUGUGUGAUGAAAAUGGAGCAUGACUAAACUAUAUGAUUUUGUAGGGAUGAACUUUCUUUGGCCAUGUUAUUUUGAGAGGACAUAAUUGCUUAGUUAGUAUGCCUGAAGUAUUAUUAUUUUUAUCUCAAUAUUGAACUUUUAUCUUGAAUCUUUCGGAUCUGAAUAUUCAUACCACAAUUAAGAAGAAAUAGAUUGAAAUUAUGCCAAGUAGCAUUCCACAUCAAAAAUUCUGUUUUUAUCAUUUACCUACUCGAGGACGAGCAGGAAUUAAGCUUGGGGAUGCUUCAUACGUCUCCAACGUAUCUAUAAUUUUUGAUUGUUCCACACUAUAUUAUAUUCUGUUUUGGACAUAAUUGGGCUUUAUUAUACAAUUUUAUAUUAUUUUUGGGACUAACCUAUUAACCGGAGGCCCAGCCCAGAAUUGCUGUUUUUUGCCUAUUUCAGAGUUUCGCAGAAAAAGAAUAUCAAACGGAGUCCAAACGGAAUGAAACCUUCGGGAACGUGAUUUUCGGAACGAACGUGAUCCAGAGGACUUGGACCCUACGUCAAGACAUCAACCAUGAGGGCACGAGGUAGGGGGGCGCGCCUACCCCCCUGGGCGCGCCCUCCACCCUCGUGGGCCCCAUGUUGCUCCACCUACGUAGUCCUUCCUCCUAUAUAUACCUACGUACCCCCAAACUACCAGAUACGGAGCCAAAAACCUAAUUCCACCGCGGCAACCUUCUGUACUUGUGAGAUCCCAUCUUGGGGCCUGUUCCGGAGCUCCGCCAGAGGGGGCAUCGAUCACGGAGGGCUUCUACAUCAACACCAUAGCCUCUCCGAUGAUGUGUGAGUAGUUUACCUCAGACCUUCGGGUCCAUAGUUAUUAGCUAGAUGGCUUCUUCUCUCUUUUUGGAUCUCAAUACAAUGUUCUCCCCCUCUCUCGUGGAGAUCUAUUCGGUGUAAUCUUCUUUUGCGGUGUGUUUGUUGAGACCGAUGAAUUGUGGGUUUAUGAUCAAGAUUAUCUAUGAACAAUAUUUGAAUCUUCUCUGAAUUCUUUUAUGUAUGAUUGGUUAUCUUUGCAAGUCUCUUCGAAUUAUCAGUUUGGUUUGGCCUACUAGAUUGAUCUUUCUUGCAAUGGGAGAAGUGCUUAGCUUUGGGUUCAAUCUUGCGGUGUCCUUUCCCAGUGACAGUAGGGGCAGCAAGGCACGUAUUGUAUUGUUGCCAUCGAGGAUAACAAGAUGGGGUUUAUAUCAUAUUGCAUGAGUUUAUCCCUCUACAUCAUGUCAUCUUGCUUAAAGCGUUACUCUGUUCUUAUGAACUUAAUACUCGAGAUGCAUGCUGGAUAGCUGUUGAUGUGUGGAGUAAUAGUAGUAGAUGCAGGCAGGAGUCGGUCUACUUGUCUCGGACGUGAUGCCUAUAUACAUGAUCAUACCUAGAUAUUCUCAUAACUAUGCUCAGUUCUGUCAAUUGCUCAACAGUAAUUUGUUCACCCACCGUAAAUACUUAUGCUCUUGAGAGAGGCCACUAGUGAAACCUAUGGCCCCCGGGUCUAUUUUCCAUCAUAUUAAUCUUCCAAGACUUAGUUAUUUUUAUUGCCUUUUAUUUUACUUUGCAUCUUUAUCAUAAAAAAUACCAAAAAUAUUAUCUUAUCAUAUCUAUCAGAUCUCACUCUCGUAAGUGACCGUGUAGGGAUUGACAACCCCUUAUCGCGUUGGUUGCGAGGAUUUAUUUAUUUGUGUAGGUGCGAGGGACUCGUGCGUGGCCUCCUACUGGAUUGAUACCUUGGUUCUCAAAAACUGAGGGAAAUACUUACACUACUUUGCUGCAUCACCCUUUCCUCUUCAAGGGAAAACCAACGCAGUGCUCAAGAGGUAGCAAGAAGGAUUUCUGGCGCCGUUGCCGGGGAGGUCUACGCAAAAGUCAACAUACCAAGUACCCAUCACAAACCCUUAUCUACCGCAUUACAUUAUUUGCCAUUUGCCUCUCGUUUUCCUCUCCCCCACUUCACCCUUGCCGUUUUAUUCGUCCUCUCUUUUCCGUUUGCUUGUCGUUAUGGCUUGUCCCCUAUCUUCUCCGUUAUCUCCCGAGAAUGAAGUUCUUAAUUUUAAACAAAGGGAAGGAGAAAAUUUAAAAGACGCUUGGUAUAGGAUUUGCAAUGCUCAAAAUAGAUCUACCAGGAAGCAAUCCACUUCCGUUCUUCUCCGCAAUUUUUACGUAGGCACUACUCCUUGGUACAGAUAUAUCCUUGAUACCAUUACUGGAGGGAAUUUCUUGGGUAGCCAUACUUUUGAUUCUUAUAAUGCUAUGAUAGAUUUGUUUGGCUAACCCCCUCUUAUGAUUAAUGGAACUAUGUUAACUUUGGAGCAUGUAAUGCAAAGACUUGAAAUAAUUGAAAAUAAAGUUGCUACCGUAGAGCUAAUUGAAAAUUUGGAUAAAAGGAUCCACAACCGAAUCACUCAAUAUGGAUCUAAAGUAGGAGUCACUUUGAAAAAUAUUAAGGAGAAGGAACUCAUAGUUAAUGAGAAAAUUAAUCAUGAUUCCACUAGAAUCGAUAAACUUGAGAAUAUCAUUACCAACUUGGGAACCGCUUUUUCCUCCGUAAGAAUACUCCAAGUCCUCCAACUAAAAUUGCCAAGCUUAUGUAUGUUCCUAAAAAUAAGGGUGAAUCCUCUAGUAAGGAAACUGCGGAUCUCAAAUCUAUAAGUAUUCAUCCCAAUCUUUUUGCUAUCAUUAAGGAACCAAUUGUUACAAAUGAAUUUUUUGAUCUUGUGCCUAAAAGUUUGAUAAUUAAUAAAAAUAAAGAAACUCUUAAGGAUGAUAGAUGCCUCAUUAAAUAAUUGCCUACCAAAGAUGGCAAUACCUAGAUCUAUCCUUGCUUUUAUGCCUAGCUAGGGGCGUUAAACGAUAGCGCUGGUUGGGAGGCAACCCAAUUUUAUUUUUAGUUUUUCUUGCUUUUUGCUUCUGUUUAGGAAUAAAUCUUUCAUCUAACCUCUGGUUAGAUGUCUUUUUAUGUUUUAAUUAGUGUUUGUGCCAAGUUAAACCUAUAGGAUCUUCUUGGAUGAUAGUUAUUUGAUCUUGCUGAAAAUUCCAGAAACUUUAUGUUCACGAAAAUAAUUGUUAAAAAUCACCAUAACGUGAUAAAAUAUUGACUCCAAUUGCUUCUGAUAAAUAAACAAAUUGUAUAGAUCGUCCUAUUUUGGCUGAAUUUUUGGAGUUCCAGAAGUUUGCGUUAGUUACAGAUUACUACAGACUGUUCUGUUUUUGACAGAUUCUGUUUUUCGUGUGUUGUUUGCUUAUUUUGAUGAAUCUAUGGCUAGUAAAAUAGUUUAUAAACCAUAGAGAAGUUAUAAUACAGUAGGUUUAACACCAAUAUAAAUAGAUAAUGAGUUCAUUACAGUACCUUGAAGUGGUCUUUUGUUUUCUUUCGCUAACGGAGCUCACGAGAUUUUCUGGUAAGUUUUGUGUUCUGAAGUUUUCAAGUUUUGGGUUAAAGAUUUGAUGGAUUAUGGAACAAGGAGUGGCAAGAGCCUAAGCUUGGGGAUGCCCAUGGCACCCCAAGAUAAUCUAAGGACACCUAAAAGCCAAAGCUUGGGGAUGUCCCGGAAGGCAUCCCCUCUUUUGUCUACUUCCAUCGGUAACUUUACUUGGAGCUAUAUAUUUAUUCACCACAUGAUAUGUGUUUUGCUUGGAGAGUCUUGUAUGAUUUGAGUAUUUGCUUUUUAGUUUAUCACAAUCAUCCUUGCUGUACACACCUUUUGAGAGAGACACACAUGAUUCGGAAAUUAUUAGAAUAUUCUAUGUGCUUCACUUAUAUCUUUUGAGUUAUAUAGUUUUUGCUCUAGUACUUCACUUAUAUCUUUUAGAGCACGGUGGUGGUUUUGUUUUAUAGAAACUAUUAUUCUCUCAUGCUUCACUUAUGUUAUUUUGAGAGUCUUAAAUAGCAUGGUAAUUUACUUAAAUAAUCCUAAUAUGCUAGGUAUUCAAUACUAGUAAAAACUUUCUUAUGAGUGUGUUGAAUACUAAGAGAAGUUUGAUGCUUGAUGAUUGUUUUGAGACAUGGAGUUAGUGAUAUCAAAGUUGUGCUAGUUGAUUAGUUGUGAAUUUGAGAAAUACUUGUGUUGAAGUUUGCAAGUCCCAUAGCAUGCACGUAUGGUAAACAUUAUGUAACAAAUUUGAAACAUGAGGUGUUCUUUGAUUGUCCUCCUUAUGAGUGGCGGUCGGGGACGAGCGAUGGUCUUUUCCUACCAAUCUAUCCCCCUAGGAGCAUGCACGUAGUGCUUGGUUUUUUAUGACUUGUAGAUUUUUGCAAUAAGUAUGUGAGUUCUUUAUGACUAAUGUUGAGUCCAUGGAUUAUACGCACUCUCACCUUUCCAUCAUUGCUAGCCUCUUCGGUACCGUGCAUUGCCCUUUCUCACAUUGAGAGAUGGUGCAAACUUCGCCGGUGCAUGCAAAGCCCGUGAUAUGAUACGCUCUUUCACACAUAAACCUCCUUAUAUCUUCCUCAAAACAGCCACCAUACCUACCUAUUAUGGCAUUUCCAUAGCCAUUCCGAGAUAUAUUGCCAUGCAACUUUCCACCGUUCCGUUUAUCAUGACACGUUCAUCAUUGUCAUAUUGCAUUGCAUGAUCAUGUAGUUGACAUAGUAUUUGUGGCAAAGCCACCAUUCAUAAUUCUUUCAUACAUGUCACUCUUGGUUCAUUGCAUAUCCCGGUACACCGCCGGAGGCAUUCAUAUAGAGUCAUACUUUGUUCUAAGUAUCGAGUUGUAAUCAUUGAGUUGUAAAUAAAUAGAAGUGUGAUGAUCAUCAUUUUCUAGAGCAUUGUCCCAAGUGAGGAAAAAAAAGAGAAAGGCCCAAAAAAAUGAGAGAAAAAGAGAGAAGGGACAAUGUUACUAUCCUUUUACCACACUUGUGCUUCAAAGUAGCACCAUAAUCUUCAUGAUAGAGAGUCCUUUGUUUUGUCACUUUCAUAUACUAGUGGGAACCUUUCAUUAUAGAACUUUGCUUGUAUAUUCCAACAAUGGGCUUCGUCAAAUGCCCUAGGUCUUCGUGAGCAAGCAAGUUGGAUGCACACCCACUUAGUUUCUUUUGUUGAGCUUUCAUAUAUGUAUAGCUCUAGUGCAUCUGUUGCAUGGCAAUCCCUACUCCUUGCAUUAACAUCAAUUGUUGGGCAUCUCCAUAGCUCAUUGAUUAGCCUCAUUGAUGCGAGACUUUCUCCUUUUUUGUCUUCUCCACAUAACCCCCAUCAUUAUAUUCUAUUCCACCCAUAGUGCUAUAUCCAUGGCUCAUGCUCAUGUAUUGCGUGAAGGUUGAAAAAGUUUGAGAUUACUAAAGUAUGAAACAAUUGCUUGGCUUGUCAUCGGGGUUGUGCAUGAGAGCAUUCUUGUGUGAUGAAAAUGGAGCAUGACUAAACUAUAUGAUUUUGUAGGGAUGAACUUUCUUUGGCCAUGUUAUUUUGAGAGGACAUAAUUGCUUAGUUAGUAUGCCUGAAGUAUUAUUAUUUUUAUCUCAAUAUUGAACUUUUAUCUUGAAUCUUUCGGAUCUGAAUAUUCAUACCACAAUUAAGAAGAAAUAGAUUGAAAUUAUGCCAAGUAGCAUUCCACAUCAAAAAUUCUGUUUUUAUCAUUUACCUACUCGAGGACGAGCAGGAAUUAAGCUUGGGGAUGCUUCAUACGUCUCCAACGUAUCUAUAAUUUUUGAUUGUUCCACACUAUAUUAUAUUCUGUUUUGGACAUAAUUGGGCUUUAUUAUACAAUUUUAUAUUAUUUUUGGGACUAACCUAUUAACCGGAGGCCCAGCCCAGAAUUGCUGUUUUUUUUGCCUAUUUCAGAGUUUCGCAGAAAAAGAAUAUCAAACGGAGUCCAAACGGAAUGAAACCUUCGGGAACGUGAUUUUCGGAACAAACGUGAUCCAGAGGACUUGGACCCUACGUCAAGACAUCAACCAGGAGGGCACGAGGUAGGGGGGCGCGCCUACCCCCCUGGGCGCGCCCUCCACCCUCGUGGGCCCCCUGUUGCUCCACCUACGUAGUCCUUCCUCCUAUAUAUACCUACGUACCCCCAAACUACCAGAUACGGAGCCAAAAACCUAAUUCCACCGCGGCAACCUUCUGUACUUGUGAGAUCCCAUCUUGGGGCCUGUUCCGGAGCUCCGCCAGAGGGGGCAUCGAUCACGGAGGAAUUCUACAUCAACACCAUAGCCUCUCCGAUGAUGUGUGAGUAGUUUACCUCAGACCUUCGGGUCCAUAGUUAUUAGCUAGAUGGCUUCUUCUCUCUUUUUGGAUCUCAAUACAAUGUUCUCCCCCUCUCUCGUGGAGAUCUAUUCGGUGUAAUCUUCUAUUGAGGUGUGUUUGUUGAGACCGAUGAAUUGUGGGUUUAUGAUCAAGAUUAUCUAUGAACAAUAUUUGAAUCUUCUCUGAAUUCUUUUAUGUAUGAUUGGUUAUCUUUGCAAGUCUCUUCGAAUUAUCAGUUUGGUUUGGCCUACUAGAUUGAUCUUUCUUGCAAUGGGAGAAGUGCUUAGCUUUGGGUUCAAUCUUGCGGUGUCCUUUCCCAGUGACAGUAGGGGCAGCAAGGCACGUAUUGUAUUGUUGCCAUCGAGGAUAACAAGAUGGGGUUUAUACCAUAUUGCAUGAGUUUAUCCCUCUACAUCAUGUCAUCUUGCUUAAAGCGUUACUCUGUUCUUAUGAACUUAAUACCCGAGAUGCAUGCUGGAUAGCGGUCGAUGUGUGGAGUAAUAGUAGUAGAUGCAGGCAGGAGUCGGUCUACUUGUCUCGGACGUGAUGCCUAUAUACAUGAACAUACCUAGAUAUUCUCAUAACUAUGCUCAAUUCUGUCAAUUGCUCAACAGUAAUUUGUUCACCCACCGUAAAUACUUAUGCUCUUGAGAGAAGCCACUAGUGAAACCUAUGGCCCCCGGGUCUAUUUUCCAUCAUAUUAAUCUUCCAACACUUAGUUAUUUUUAUUGCUUUUUAUUUUACUUUGCAUCUUUAUCAUAAAAAAUACCAAAAAUAUUAUCUUAUCAUAUCUAUCAGAUCUCACUCUCGUAAGUGACCGUGUAGGGAUUGACAACCCCUUAUCACGUUGGUUGCGAGGAUUUAUUUAUUUGUGUAGGUGCGAGGGACUCGUGCGUGGCCUCCUACUGGAUUGAUACCUUGGUUCUCAAAAACUGAGGGAAAUACUUACACUACUUUGCUGCAACACCCUUUCCUCUUCAAGGGAAAACCAACGCAGUGCUCAAGAGGUGGCAAGAAGGAUUUCUGGCGCCGUUGCCGGGGAGGUCUACACAAAAGUCAACAUACCAAGUACCCAUCACAAACCCUUAUCUACCACAUUACAUUAUUUGCCAUUUGCCUCUCGUUUUCCUCUCCCCCACUUCACCCAUGCCGUUUUAUUCGCCCUCUCUUUUCCGUUUGCUUGUCGUUAUGGCUUGUCCCCUAUCUUCUCUGUUAUCUCCCGAGAAUGAAGUUCUUAAUUUUAAACAAAGGGAAGGAAAAAAUUUAAAAGACGCUUGGUAUAGGAUUUGCAAUGCUCAAAAUAGAUCUACCAGGAAGCAAUCCACUUCCGUUCUUCUCCGCAAUUUUUACGUAGGCACUACUCCUUGGUACAGAUAUAUCCUUGAUACCAUUACUGGAGGGAAUUUCUUGGGUAGCCAUACUUUUGAUUCUUAUAAUGCUAUGAUAGAUUUGUUUGGCUCACCCCCUCUUAUGAUUAAUGGAACUAUGUUAACUUUGGAGCAUGUAAUGCAAAGACUUGAAAUAGCUGAAAAUAAAGUUGCUACCGUAGAGCUAAUUGAAAAUUUGGAUAAAAGGAUCCACAACCGAAUCACUCAAUAUGGAUCUAAAGUAGGAGUCACUUUGAAAAAUAUUAAGGAGAAGGAACUCAUAGUUAAUGAGAAAAUAAAUCAGGAUUCCACUAGAACCGAUAAACUUGAGAAUAUCAUUACCAACUUGGGAACCGCUUUUUCCUCCGUAAAGAAUACUCCAAGUCUUCCAACUAAAAUUGCCAAGCUUAUGUAUGUUCCUAAAAAUAAGGGUGAAUCCUCUAGUAAGGAAACUGCGGAUCUCAAAUCUAUAAGUAUUCAUCCCAAUCUUUUUGCUAUCAUUAAGGAACCAAUUGUUACAAAUGAAUUUUUUGAUCUUGUGCCUAAAAUUUUCAUAAUUAAUAAAAAGAAAGAAACUCUUAAGGAUGAUAGAUGCCUCAUUAAAAAAUUGCCUACCAAAGAUGGCAAUACCUAGAUCUAUCCUUGCUUUUAUGCCUAGGUAGGGGCGUUAAACGAUAUCGCUUGUUGGGAGGCAACCCAAUUUUAUUUUUAGUUUUUUUUUUAUUUUUGCUUCUGUUUAGGAAUAAAUCUUUCAUCUAGCCUCUGGUUAGAUGUCUUUUUAUGUUUUAAUUAGUGUUUGUGCCAAGUUAAACCUAUAGGAUCUUCUUGGAUGAUAGUUAUUUGAUCUUGCUGAAAAUUCCAGAAACUUUCUGUUCACGAAAGUAAUUGUUAAAAAUCACCUUAACGUGAUAAAAUAUUGAAUCCAAUUGCUUCUGAUCAAUAAACAAAUUUUCUAGAUCUUCCUAUUUUGGCUGAAUUUUUGGAGUUCCAGAAGUUUGCGUUAGUUACAGAUUACUACAGACUGUUCUGUUUUUGACAGAUUCUGUUUUUGUUGUGUUGUCUGCUUAUUUUGAUGAACCUAUGGCUAGUAAAAUAGUUUAUAAACCAUAGAGAAGUUAGAAUACACUAGGUUUAACACCAAUAUAAAUAGAUAAUGAGUUCAUUACAGUACCUUGAAGUGGUCUUUUGUUUUCUUUCGCUAACGGAGCUCACGAGAUUUUCUGGUAAGUUUUGUGUUGUGAAGUUUUCAAGUUUUGGGUUAAAGAUUUGAUGGAUUAUGGAACAAGGAGUGGCAAGAGCCUAAGCUUGGGGAUGCCCAUGGCACCCCAAGAUAAUCUAAGGACACCUAAAAGCCAAAGCUUGGGGAUGCCCCGGAAGGCAUCCCCUCUUUUGUCUACUUCCAUCGGUAACUUUACUUGGAGCUAUAUUUUUAUUCACCACAUGAUAUGUGUUUUGCUUGGAGCGUCUUGUAUGAUUUGAGUCUUUGCUUUUUAGUUUAUCACAAUCAUCCUUGCUGUACACACCUUUUGAGAGAGACACACAUGAUUCGGAAACUAUUAGAAUAUUCUAUGUGCUUCACUUAUAUCUUUUGAGUUAUAUAGUUUUUGCUCUAGUACUUCACUUAUAUCUUUUAGAGCACGGUGGUGGUUUUGUUUUAUAGAAACUAUUAUUCUCUCAUGCUUCACUUAUGUUAUUUUGAGAGUCUUAAAUAGCAUGGUAAUUUACUUAAAUAAUCCUAAUAUGCUAGGUAUUCAAUACUAGUAAAAACUUUCUUAUGAGUGUGUUGAAUACUAAGAGAAGUUUGAUGCUUGAUGAUUGUUUUGAGACAUGGAGUUAGUGAUAUCAAAGUUGUGCUAGUUGAGUAGUUGUGAAUUUGAGAAAUACUUGUGUUGAAGUUUGCAAGUCCCAUAGCAUGCACGUAUGGUAAACAUUAUGUAACUAAUUUGAAACAUGAGGUGUUCUUUGAUUGUCCUCCGUAUGAGUGGCGGUCGGGGACGAGCGAUGGUCUUUUCCUACCAAUCUAUCCCCGUAGGAGCAUGCUCGUAGUGCUUGGUUUUUGAUGACUUGUAGAUUUUUGCAAUAAGUAUGUGAGUUCUUUAUGACUAAUGUUGAGCCCAUGGAUUAUACGCACUCUCACCUUUCCAUCAUUGCUAGCCUCUUCGGUACCGUGCAUUGCCCUUUCUCACAUUGAGAGAUGGUGCAGACUUCGCCGGUGCAUCCAAAGCCCGUGAUAUGAUACGCUCUUUCACACAUAAACCUCCUUAUAUCUUCCUCAAAACAGCCACCAUACCUACCUAUUAUGGCAUUUCCAUAGCCAUUCCGAGAUAUAUUGCCGUGCAACUUUCCACCGUUCCGUUUAUCAUGACAUGUUCAUCAUUGUCAUAUUGCAUUGCAUGAUCAUGUAGUUGACAUAGUAUUUGUGGCAAAGCCACCAUUCAUAAUUCUUUCAUACAUGUCACUCUUGGUUCAUUGCAUAUCCCGGUACACCGCCGGAGGCAUUCAUAUAGAGUCAUACUUUGUUCUAAGUAUCGAGUUGUAAUCAUUGAGUUGUAAAUAAAUAGAAGUGUGAUGAUCAUCAUUUUCUAGAGCAUUGUCCCAAGUGAGGAAAAAAAGAGAAAGACCCAAAAAAAUGAGAGAAAAAGAGAGAAGGGACAAUGUUACUAUCCUUUUACCACACUUGUGCUUCAAAGUAGCGCCAUAAUCUUCAUGAUAGAGAGUCCUUUGUUUUGUCACUUUCAUAUACUACUAGGAACCUUUCAUUAUAGAACUUGGCUUGUAUAUUCCGACAAUGGGCUUCGUCAAAUGCCCUAGGUCUUCGUGAGCAAGCAAGUUGGAUGCACACGCACUUAGUUUCUUUUGUUGAGCUUUCAUAUAUUUAUAGCUCUAGUGCAUCCGUUGCAUGGCAAUCCCUACUCCUUGCAUUAACAUCAAUUGAUGGGCAUCUCCAUAGCUCAUUGAUUAGCCUCGUUGAUGUGAGACUUUCUCCUUUUUUGUCUUCUCCACAUAACCCCCAUCAUUAUAUUCUAUUCCACCCAUAGUGCUAUAUCCAUGGCUCAAGCUCAUGUAUUGCGUGAAGGUUGAAAAAGUUUGAGAUUACUAAAGUAUGAAACAAUUGCUUGGCUUGUCAUCGGGGUUGUGCAUGAUGAGAGCAUUCUUGUGUGACGAAAAUGGAGCACGACUAAACUAUAUGAUUUUGUAGGGAUGAACUUUCUUUGGCCAUGUUAUUUUGACUAAACCCCUUGAACUUGUCGAAAACCUUUUGCAAAAAGUCGAGGUUUGUAGACAGUAACAUUACCGUCAGCGUCAGUCUUCUUCUUGAAGAUCCUUUUAUUCUCUAUGGCUUGCCGAUCAUCGGGCAAGUCAACCAAAGUCCACACUUUGUUCUCAUACAUGGAUCCCAUCUCAAAUUUCAUGGCCUCCAGCCAUUUUGCGGAAUCUGGGCUCACCGUCGCUUCUUCAUAGUUUGUAGGUUCGCCUUGGUCAAGCAACAUGACCUCCAGAACAGGAUUACUGUACCACUCUGGUGCGGAUCUUACUCUGGUUGACCUACGAGGUUCAGUAGUAACUUGAUCUGAAGUUACAUGAUCAUCAUCAUUAGCUUCCUCACUAAUUGGUGUAGGAGUCACAGGAACAGAUUUCUAUGAUGAACUACUUUCCAAUAAGGGAGCAGGUACAGUUACCUCAUCAAGUUCUACUUUCCUCCCACUCACUUCUUUCGAGAGAAACUCCUUCUCUAGAAAGGAUCCAUUCUUAGCAACGAAUGUCUUGCCUUCGGAUCUGUGAUAGAAGGUGUACCCAACAGUUUCCUUUGGGUAUCCUAUGAAGACACAUUUCUCCGAUUUGGGUUCGAGCUUAUCAGGUUGAAGCUUUUUCACAUAAGCAUCGCAGCCCCAAACUUUAAGAAAUGACAACUUUGGUUUCUUGCCAAAUCACAUUUCAUAAGGCGUCAUCUCAACGGAUUUUGAUGGUGCCCUAUUUAACGUGAAUGCAGCCGUCUCUAAAGCAUAACCCCAAAAUGAUAGCGGUAAAUCGGUAAGAGACAUCAUAUAUCGCACCAUAUCUAGUAAAGUACGAUUACGACGUUCGGACACACCAUUACGUUGUGGUGUUCCGGGUGGCGUGAGUUGCGAAACUAUUCCGCCUUGUUCAAAUGUAGACCAAACUCGUAACUCAAAUAUUUUCCUCCACGAUCAGAUCGUAGAAACUUUAUUUUCUUGUUAUGAUGAUUUUCCACUUCACUCUGAAAUUCUUUGAACUUUUCAAAUGUUUCAGACUUAUGUUUCAUUAAGUAGAUAUACCCAUAUCUGCUCAAAUCAUCUGUGAAGGUGAGAAAAUAACGAUACCAGCCAGGAGCCUCAAUAUUCAUCGGACCACAUACAUUAGUAUGUAUGAUUUCCAACAAAUCUGUUGCUCGCUCCAUUGUUCCGGAGAAUGACGUUUUAGUCAUCUUGCCCAUGAGGCAUGGUUCGCAAGUACCAAGUGAUUCAUAAUCAAAUGAUUCCAAAAGUCCAUCGGUAUGGAGUUUCUUCAUGCGCUUUACACCAAUAUGACCCAAACUGCAGUGCCACAAAUAAGUUGCACUAUCAUUAUCAACUCUGCAUCUUUUGGCUUCAACAUUAUGAAUAUGUGUAUCACUACUAUUGAGAUUCAUCACAAAUAGACCACUCUUCAAGGGUGCAUGACCAUAAAAGAUAUUACUCAUAUAAAUAGAACAACCAUUAUUCUCUGAUUUAAAUGAAUAACCGCCUCGCAUAAAACAAGAUCCAGAUAUAAUGUUCAUGCUUAACGCUGGCACCAAAUAACAAUUAUUUAGGUCUAAAACUAAUCCCGAAGGUAGAUGUAGAGGUAGCGUGCCGACGGCGAUCACAUCGACUUUGGAACCAUUUCCCACGCGCAUCGUCACCUUGUCCUUAGCCAGUCUUCGCUUAAUCCGUAGUCCCUGUUUCGAGUUGCAAAUAUUAGAAAUAGAACCAGUAUCAAAUACCCACGUGCUACUGCGAGCUCUAGUAAGGUACACAUCAAUAACAUGUAUAUCACAUAUACCUUUGUUCACCUUGCCAUCCUUCUUAUCCGCCAAAUACUUGGGGCAGUUCCGCUUCCAGUGACCAGUCUGUUUGCAGUAGAAGCACUCAGUCUCAGGCUUAGGUCCAGACUUGGGUUUCUUCUCUUGAGCAGCAACUUGUUUGCCGUUCUUCUUGAAGUUCCCCUUCUUCUUCCCUUUACCCUUUUUCUUGAAACUGGCGGUCUUGUUGACCAUCAACACUUGAUGCUCCUUCUUGAUUUCUACCUCUGCAGCCUUUAGCAUUGCGAAGAGCUCAGGAAUUGUCAUAUCCAUCCCUUGCAUAUUAUGGUUCAUCACGAAGCUCUUGUAGCUUGGUGGUAGUGAUUGAAGAAUUCUGUCAAUGACACUAUCAUCCGGAAGAUUAACUCCCAGUUGAAUCAAGUGAUUGUUAUACCCAGACAUUUUGAGUAUAUGUUCACUGACAGAACUAUUCUCCUCCAUCUUGCAGCUGUAGAACUUAUUGGAGACUUCAUAUCUCUCAAUCCGGGCAUUUGCUUGAAAUAUUAGCUUCAACUCCUGGAACAUCUCAUAUUCUCCAUGACGUUCAAAACGUCGUUGAAGCCCCGGUUCUAAGCCGUAAAGCAUGGCACACUGAAUUAUCGAGUAGUCAUCAGCUUUGCUCUGCCAGACGUUCUUAACGUCGUCAGUUGCAUCUGCAGCAGGCCUGGCACCCAGCGGUGCUUCCAGGACGUAAUUCUUCUGUGCAGCAAUGAGGAUAAUCCUCAAGUUACGGACCCAGUCCGUGUAAUUGCUACCAUCAUCUUUCAACUUUUCUUUCUCAAGGAACGCAUUAAAAUUCAAUGGAACAACAGUACGGGCCAUCUAUCUACAAUAACAUAGACAAGCAAAAUACUAUCAGGUACUAAGUUCAUGAUAAAUUUAAGUUCAAUUAAUCAUAUUACUUAAGAACUCCCACUUAGAUAGACAUCCCUCUAAUCAUCUAAGUGAUCGCGUGAUCCAUAUCAACUAAACCAUAACCGAUCAUCACAUGAAAUGGAGUAGUUUUCAAUGAUGAACAUCACUAUGUUGAUCAUAUCUACUAUAUGAUUCACGCUCGACCUUUCGGUUUCAGUGUUCCGAGGCCAUAUCUGCAUAUGCUAGGCUCGUCAAGUUUAACCCGAGUAUUCUGCGUGUGUAAAACUGUCUUACACCCGCUGUAGAUGAACGCCGAGCUUAUCACACCCGAUCAUCACGUAGUGUCUCGGCACGACGAACUUUGGCAACGGUGCAUACUCAGGGAGAACACUUUUACCUUGAAAUUUAGUGAGAGAUCAUCUUAUAAUGCUACCGCCAAACAAAACAGAAUAAGAUGCAUAAAUGAUAAACAUCACAUGCAAUCAAUAUCAGUGAUAUGAUAUGGCCAUCAUCAUCUUGUGCCUUUGAUCUCCAUCUCCAAAGCACUGCCAUGAUCACCAUCGUCACCGGCGCGACACCUUGAUCUCCAUCGUAGCAUCGUUGUCGUCUCGCCAACUAUUGCUUCUACGACUAUCGCUACCGCUUAGUGAUAAAGUAAAGCAAUUACAGGGCGAUUGCAUUGCAUACAAUAAAGUGACAACCAUAUGGCUCCUGCCAGUUGUCGAUAACUUCGUUACAAAACAUGAUCAUCUCAUACAAUAAAUAUAGCAUCAUGUCUUGACCAUAUCAUAUCACAACAUGCCCUGUAAAAACAAGUUAGACGUCCUCUACUUUGUUGUUGCAAGUUUUACGUGGCUGCUACGGACUGAGCAAGAACCGUUCUUACCUACGCAUCAAAAACACAACGAUAGUUCGUCAAGUUAGUGAUGUUUUAACCUUCUCAAGGACCGGGCGUAGCCACACUCGGUUCAACUAAAGUUGGAGAAACUGACACCCGCUAGUCACCUGUGUGCAAAGCACGUCGGUAGAACCAGUCUCGCGUAAGCGUACGCGUAAUGUCGGCCCGGGCCGCUUCAUCCAACAAUACCGCCGAAUGAAAGUAUGACAUGCUGGUAAGCAGUAUGACUUGUAUCGCCCACAACUCACUUGUGUUCUACUCGUGCAUAUUACAUCUACGCAUAAACCUGGCUUGGAUGCCACUGUUGGGGAACGUAGUAAUUUUAAAAAAAUUCCUACGCACACACAGGAUCAUGGUGAUGCAUAGCAACAAGAGGGGAGAGUGUGUCCACGUAUCCUCGUAGACCGAAAGCGGAAGCUUUAGCACAAUGCCGUUGAUGUAGUCGUACGUCUUCACGAUCCGACCGAUCCAAGUACCGAACGCACGGCACCUCCGAGUUCAGCACACGUUCAACUCGAUGAUGUCCCGCGAGCUCCCAUCUAGCAAAGCUUCGUCGGAGAGUUUCGUCAGCACGGCGUGAUGAUGGUGAUGAUGAUGCUACCGACGCAGGGCUUCGCCUAAGCACCACUACGAUAUGAUCGAGGUGGAUUAUGGUGGAGGUGGGCACCGCACACGGCUGGGAGAGAUCAACAGAUCAACUUGUGUGUCUAGAGGUGCCCGCCUGCCCCCGUAUAUAAAGGAGCAAGCGGGGAGGCCGGCCGGCCCCCUGUAGGCGCGCCAGGAGGAGGAGUCCUCCUCCUAGUAGGAGUAGGACUCCCCUCUUUCCUACUCCGACUAGGAGGGGAAAAGGAAGGGGGAGAGGGAGAAGGAAAGGGGGGCGCUGCCCCCCCCCUCUCCUAGUCCAAUUCGGACCAGAGGGGGAGGGGCGCGCGGCCUGCCCUAGGCCAGCCUUCUCUCUCUCCACUAAGGCCCAUAAGGCCCACUAUUUCUCCCGGGGGGGGGGGGUCCGGUAACCGUCCGGCACUCCGGUUUUCUCCAAAACCACCCGGAACACUUCCGGUGUCCGAAUAUAGUCGUCCAAUAUAUUGAUCUUUACGUCUCGACCAUUUCAAGACUCCUUGUCAUGUCCGUGAUCAUAUCCGGGACUCCGAACUACCUUCGGUACAUCAAAACACAAAAACUCAUAAUAUCGAUCGUCACCGAACUUUAAGCGUGCGGACCUACGGGUUCGAGAAUUAUGUAGACAUGACCGAGACACAUCUCCGUUCAAUAACCAAUAGCGGAACCUGGAUGCUCAUAUUGGCUCCCACAUAUUCUACGAAGAUCUUUAUCGGUCAAACCGCAUAACAAUAUACGUUGUUCCCUUUGUCAUCGGUAUGUUACUUGUCCGAGAUUCGAUCGUCGGUAUCUCAAUACCUAGCUCAAUCUCGUUACCGGCAAGUCUCUUUACUCGUUACAUAAUGCAUCAUCCCGCAACUAACUCAUUAGUCACAUUGCUUGCAAGGCUUUAUGAUGUGCAUUACCGAGAGGGCCCAGAGAUACCUCUCCGACAAUCGGAAUAAGAAAUCCUAAUCUCGAUCUAUGCCAACUCAACAAGUACCAUCGGAGACACCUGUAGAGCACCUUUAUAAUCACCCAGUUACGUUGUGACGUUUGGUAGCACACAAAGUGUUCCUCCGGUAAUCGGGAGUUGCAUAAUCACAUAGUCAUAGGAACAUGUAUAAGUCAUGAAGAAAGCAAUAGCAGUAAACUAAACGAUCAAGUGCUAAGCUAACGGAAUGGGUCAAGUCAAUCACAUCAUUCUCCUAAUGAUGUGAUCCCGUUAAUCAAAUGACAACUCAUGUCUAUGGUUAGGAAACUUAACCAUCUUUGAUUAAUGAGCUAGUCAAGUAGAGGCAUACUAGUGACACUAUGUUUGUCUAUGUAUUCACACAUGUAUUAUGUUUCUGGUUAAUAUAAUUCUAGCAUGAAUAAUAAACAUUUAUCAUGAUAUGAGGAAAUAAAUAAUAACUUUAUUAUUGCCUCUAGGGCAUAUUUCCUUCAUGGUCGCCAUAGUAGGAGGUGGUUCCCCUCCUUGCGGUGGUGGCUCCGGUCUCAGUAGUGACGUGGCUCAGCAAAAGGGUGACGAGGGUGAUGCUACGUGCGAAAGCCCUAUGUCGGCCUCGGUCGGCAUCGGCGGUAGCGGCGCACUGCAGCGUCGGAUCGCUCCCUAGAGGUGCCGUUGUGUGAUGCACUGGUUCCUUCGCCUACUCUGUUCGUUCUCCGGGUGAAAGCCUUAGAUCCAGCCCCUGGAUCGGACGGCAGCGGCGUCCACGACGUCGUUACCACCUCGGUGGUGCCUGUCUUCGGAGACGUUGCUCCAUGUUGCUUGCCUGAGGUUUGGGUGGUGUUUGGCUGGCUUGAGGUUGGUGGUCAGUGGUGGUGGUGCGGCUGGUGGUGUGUUUGUGCGGCCGGCUGGGGUCGACGGUGGUGUGUGAUGUGGUGGUGGUGGCGCGGCCGGCUUGCGCUGGUGUGCACGGUGAACCGAUUCGGGUGUAGACUCGGCUCCUUGAUGCCCUUCGGCUUCGCUGGCGGUGCCGCUGUUGUGAUGUAGCAUCGGCUGCGGGUGGCUCUUCGUCCGGGUGUGGACUCGGUCUCUCGUUGCCCUUCGGCUGCACCAAUAGCCUUGAGGCACCAUGGAUGGUCUCGGUUGAUUGGAGCUCUUCAUCUACGGUAGUGGUUUUCUCGUGCGGCUCAGUUGGUAAUGGCUGCUCAAGACCCUCUCAUGGUUGCCAUUGUGUUGUGGCGAGCUUCGUGCUCUUGGUGUUGUCUCAGUUCAUCUUUGCUCAAGGUCGGCGCAAGAUGCCUCUCAAACUUACUAUCGUUCCGUUUUCCUGUGGCGGAGCCCUAGUCAAGGUUUGUGUCUGGGAUGACACUCAUUGAUUGUGGAUGCUCCUGAGUUGUGUCAUGGGGGCCGGUAUGCUUGCCGAUGCGUUCGGCUGUUUGCAAAGUCUUGGUAUUGUGAUCUCCCGACGACACCCCACAUCUACUUGCGUCUCUCGUGGUGAUGGUCUUAUGUCUACUAGCUUGGUCGUGCCUUGUAUGGUUUUCGGCCCAGUUUUCCUUAAAAUGGGUCAAUUUUGUAAGGUUUUCGAUUCGGUUUUCCUUAUAAACUGCAUCACUCCUCUGGCAUAUUUGGCCACUUUGAGUAAUAUAUUCAGGUGGAGGAACUCCUCCCCCGGUGAUUCUCAAAAAAAAAAAACAUUGUCUCUUCUUGGGUGCAGAGAAUUCAUUACAAGGAACCAUAGUGGAAUUAAUCUCCUAAAAAGAGUGAGCAUCACUUAAUUCUGUCAUGGCAAGGCUAUUGACCGAUGCUGUGAAAUCAAAAGAACAAGCUGAAUCACAAUUGUUGUAAGGAAGAACCUGAAAGAUUAGCAAUUUUGAUACAAAAAUUUACCUGAGAUGGCUGGUACACUACACGGAUUGGUCUUUCCUGCCAAGAAUGGCGAGGGUGAGUUCGCGCUAGUUUCCUCCAUUUAGAAGAACAAUUGCCUUCUCUUCUCUGCUUUCCUAGCAAAAAUUUAAAUGGAGGCACAUAUCACAAACUGGAUACAGUCCGAAGGAAGUGCAGGCUACUGUGCUAAAAGGAGUGCUUCUGAAACUGAAGCAGCCCUAUAGUGACAAUUUUGAUUCCAAUAUGUACUGAAAAUUAGCAUCCACUAAAUUGAUUGCAUUGCAAAUUAUAAGCACCACAAUCAGAUGGAAAUCUCUUGAUUACAGUACAUGGUAGCAAGGACCAAAAUUGGAGCCGACUCAAGAAAAAAAAUCCAGUGCAAGCACGUUCUAAUGUGGGAUGGUUAGGACAUACAGUACUAGUUUUCUGUGGGAAAAAAAUGCACUUACUACUAACCUGCCUCCCUUUAGAUUAAUGAACAGUAGAUGUUGUGGCACCGAGAAGUCUCCACUGCCGUUGCUACUCCCCCAAUAUCACCACCAGAACAAGCAUGGAAUGGUGUUGUAUACCCGGUACUUCUCGGCAGUAGACAGGGAGAUAUGUGGGGAAGCAAUUUCCUGGUUAGGGUUAAGAACUGACUCGAACAAGGCCGCCGCAGUCCGCGGUAGGGGACUUCGUGGUUCAGAGGGGAGGUGGGAAAGAUCUGGGAGGAAAAGGCCACCGCCGUCGACGAGGGUAUUUUGUGGCUCGGAGUGUGGGCGGGGAAGUGCUGGCUGGCAGCGGCAGUCUGCAGGGCAUGGCCGACGGCGCCGCCGCCGCCGCCGAGAUUGGAUUCGAGAACGGAAAAGAGCUGGCCUGAAUGGGAGUUUUCUUUGAAGUACAAAAUGUACAGGGCCUAAAUGCAAAAUGUACUGUAAAAGAGGCUGGAAUCCCACCUCACCGUAUCUGUACCAUGCAUCCAACAUCCAAUGGUCCAGGAUGUUGGAUCGCACGAUCACAGCUCAAGUACUGAUCCUAUANNNNNNNNNNNNNNNNNNNNNNNNNNNNNNNNNNNNNNNNNNNNNNNNNNNNNNNNNNNNNNNNNNNNNNNNNNNNNNNNNNNNNNNNNNNNNNNNNNNNNNNNNNNNNNNNNNNNNNNNNNNNNNNNNNNNNNNNNNNNNNNNNNNNNNNNNNNNNNNNNNNNNNNNNNNNNNNNNNNNNNNNNNNNNNNNNNNNNNNNNNNNNNNNNNNNNNNNNNNNNNNNNNNNNNNNNNNNNNNNNNNNNNNNNNNNNNNNNNNNNNNNNNNNNNNNNNNNNNNNNNNNNNNNNNNNNNNNNNNNNNNNNNNNNNNNNNNNNNNNNNNNNNNNNNNNNNNNNNNNNNNNNNNNNNNNNNNNNNNNNNNNNNNNNNNNNNNNNNNNNNNNNNNNNNNAAAAACUUACUGUUGUGGCUGAUGCAGCCGCGCACCCGCCAAAACGCUUGCACACAGCGUGAGGGCUGCACAAUGUUCGCUCGGAGUUUCUUUCUACACAACGAACAUUCUCGGUAUGGUUUUUCAGCGCGAUUUAAUGCCUACCAUCGGAUUUGGCCCGUCGACGUUGCGCAUACCGAGAACGUUCGUUGUGUAGAAUUUUUGUUUUUCAUAUUAAAAACACGUUCAAAUAAGGUCAUUUCCAAUUUCCAAGCCGUCGCGCCAAGUUCCAUUUGCUGAUUUGCGAUCGUUAUCAAACUGUUUAUACACAACAAGAAGAAAUCAAGGGGGAAAAAAACUGGUGGAAUCAAUGGAAGUCUAGAAGCUAGUAUUAUCACGCACGCGUCACGCUCGGCUCACGAAGGCCUCGCUCCCGACCUUGAUGGCACCAAAACCACCGCCGCGAGCGGCCAGUCCGCCCACCGCCGCGCCGCGACUCGUCUGCUCUGGCCGUUUCAGCGCGCAGGCGCCGAACUCGCACGGCCCGUCCUCGGCGAUGGUGACCAUCGCCGGGCGCUUCCUCCGCGCCGGGACGGCCGCCGGUGCCUGGCUAAGGUGGACCUUCUUCUUCGCUGCCCCGACGUCCGCCGGCUCGGGCGCGACGCGGCGCUGUUUCGACGCGGCGCGGUCCGAGCUCGCCCGCAGGUGCAUGGUCGUGGCCGGCCCGCCGAAGCCGCCGGGGCCGCGGCCACCCACGACCGCCCCCGCUGGCAUGCGGGCGCGCGCAUCCGGACAUGCAGCUCACGUAGAGGUCGCACGCUCUGGACAGCGCGCGCAUCGGCGCGCCGAGGCAGAAGAAGCACCCGCUGGUUUUCCCGCCACCCUUCUUCAUCCUUCUGCCUGCGUGCCGGAGCUGCGUUGGCUUCUUGCAGAGAAACACAAGAUCGAGCGCUGUAGAUUGCCUGCCUUUAAACUCGAUGGCUGGCUGCGUUGUGAGAGUGUACAAUGGCACCUCGAUCACCUCGUGAUAUAUAUAUAUAUAUAUACGCUUCCAUUAAUUCCGUCGACGUUGCCCGUUCCGUCCGCGUGAACUGCCGCUUGGUGUUGACGUUUUUGCGUUCACGUUCAUAUCCGUGGGGUCGGCAGGUUUCUGUGCCGGCGGAUAAGAGGGAAAUGGUCAGAAUCGGCAAUAAUUUUGAUGGAUUCGCAGGAAUUUGUCCACGGGUUUGGAGGAUAGGGUCGAGCUACAAGUUGAUCGGCUGGCCAACUCUCACGCGCUGCUUCUGUUGAUCCAGUGAAUCAUCAUUGCGUACGUGCAUGUUAGCCGUUUUUUGCGUGUCUGUUGCAAUUCUACCGGCAAAUAUAUCCUUAUUUAGUACUAGUACUCCAAUAAAACUUUUCUACCGUUGCUUGUUUCAGCGCACGUAUACCAUAAGACAGCAACCUCUACUGUUUCGAUUGUCUGCUAGUAAACCAUGUCUCCUGUCCUGAGGGAAGCUACCAUCUCUUUUCCUUUUGUUUUUAAAUUAAAAUAUCUGAUUGGCCACUUGCCCCUUGAUUUUGGCAUAGAGAGGACCAAAGAGAAAGCACAAGACACGGACACACCACCACCAUUAACAUUUACAUCAUCCUUCCUUAAGCAAAGCAAUUAGGAACGGGAGAUGUGGACUUUGGAGCAGAGGAAUUACUCAUGUUUCUCGGGGUCAACUUUGAAAAUUAACCUUUCCAAAAAAAACAUUGAAAAUUAACCACAUCGCCGCCGUCGAUUUUUCAUCUACUGGACGGAUGCGCACCCGUUUGCGAGCCGAAGCACCAGUCCUCCGAUCCGCCGCCCGCCAGUCCAUAUCCCCUACCGCCUACCGCACGUCACUUGACCAGCCAGCCGCCCCACUCCACCUGCACCCUCCCUCCACUACGGCACGAGCUCCCGGCGAUGUCGUGGCUCGCGCGCUCCAUUGCGGCCACCCUCUCCUCCGUCCCCGACGACGACGAUGACUGAGGCGGAGGGAGAGUAUGGGCCCCAGUCCCCGCGGGUCGCCGGGAUCCGGAACGACCUGGCUGAGAUCGGGGGCAGGGUGAGGAGCGGCAUCUCGAUGCUGUCCAACGCCAACGCCGUGGCGGAGAUCUCCAAGAUCGCUUCGUCCUUCCUGCCUUUCGUGCCUGAGGAAGAGGAGGAGGAGGUGGAUGCGGUGGGCGUGACGGAGGAGGUGGUGGUGUUCGUCUGGCACAUCUCGACCUCUCCCGAGACGUGGCUCGAUUUCCCCCUCUUCGUCAACGACCGCCACGCCGAUGGUAAGACCCAGUUGCUUCAGACUUUUCUGCUCGAGUUUUAUUUGCACUAGACUAUUAUUUAUGUGUACUAUGCACUUGUGUGGUUAUGAGAUGAGAUGUAGGUGCAGCAGAAGACUCUGAAUUCUGAAACUCAGAUUAUUAGAGAGGAAUCAGGUGUUUUAAUCUAUGUCUUUGCAGUUCUGCUCAAACUGUGUUUAUACUGCCUAUGCUGUGGUUAAUAGAAUGGUGUAUUUGCUAAGUGUGCAGACAUGAGGGUGCCAAAUCCACCACAUCAUGUUCAAACUGACUGUUUCUCGUCAUUUUUGAAGGUUUGCCAAAUGCCAAUGAAUUGUGCUGAAUUAAUUAACUAAGGCCCUAUUUGAUUCAUAAGUCCUAGGACUUUUUUUAGUCCCAACUUAUAAGUCCCUACUUGUUUGGUUCCUGGGACUUAACAUAUAUGGACUAAAAGACCAUAUGACAACUAGAAGUCCCUCCUUGAGAGUCCUAUUUCAUAAGUCCCAAAUGCCCACUUUAAGUCCCUACAAGUCCCUCCUGUUUGGUUUAGAUGGGACUUAAAGGGACUUAUUUAAGUCCCUACACCAAUAAGUCCCUGUAACCAAACACCCCCUAAUAUGUUGGCACUCCAUCUGAUUACAUUGGCGGAUAUUAGUUCGACAGAGUGGGUGCCUGAAAUGAGUUACUGUGUCUAGUCUCAACGGGGCUUUAGUUUGAGUUUGUUUGUUUAAGUGAAGUGGUAAUUAGUUGGAAGUAAUUUAAUGACGAAGUUUUGGAGUAUAGAUUGAGGAUUUUAAUACCCAGUAUGCACCUUCUCAUAAAUGCUUAUGAUGAAAAUUUGUCGCUUGCCAUGUAUUAUUAGUAUUGAAUUGUUACAAAGCCACAAUUUCUGCAAAAACAUCAGGAUUAACUAUACCAUUUACUAAUCUACAAGACAUCCCAAAGCCAGAGAUGAAUUAGAAAACAUCAAAACACUCAAGUGACAAAGCUAGAUGCAGACUCAAAGCACAUAUGCCAGCACAACUUAACCUGAUGAUUCACGUAAACGAAUCAAAUAUGGUUGUUAUAAUAAAUUGCUUGCUUGUACCAUUAAAAGUUUUACUUAUUAAGACACACACAUGAAGUCCCUAAAAAUAAAUGAGUUGUGUCAAUUGCCCACGCACCUUUGAUCAAAUAACUCAAAGAAGCACUUGACCUUGACUGCUUUCUAUACUUGGUGGGAGUUAAGCUUGUUUUCAAGGAAUCAAGGUUCCUGAUGAUAUCAGUACAUGUACACAAUAUAAUCGAACCAAGUACAUUUAUCUAGCAAUUUUUGUAGAUUUUAGCUUUUGUACAUAGACUUAUUGCUAAUCUUCCUGUUGUUUAUGAUGUAAUCAUAAUUUUUCCUACUUACCAAACUUGCGGACCAUGGAAUUUUCAUUGACUACUGUACUUCUUUGUACUAACUUGGCGUAGUAAUCAGUCGCAAAUAUGUUUUUAGGUGACCACGAAUACUUAUUACUAUAUGCUUAACAUCAUGCUCUUCUUCUCUUCAUUAUGUGGGAGUUUUCUUGCCAUUCAUGCAUCUUGUUCCAUCAUGUCAGUUGUAUCUUACAUAUCAUGCCUGACUGAUUUGCUCAAUUCCUUCGCUUAUAUCUGCUAUGCUUUUGUGUUCAGAUUUUGAACUGUCAGAUACACAAUAUGAACAUGCAUUGGCUAUAGAGCGUAUAGUACCAAGCUUAUCAUAUCUCAGAACCGAACUUUGUCCGACCAAUAUGAGUGAAGCAUGCUUUUGGAAGAUCUAUUUUGUGCUUCUUCACUCAAAGCUCAACAAGCAAGAUGCUGAACUUCUUUCAACGGCACAAGUAUGCUCCCUUCUCUGUCUUAUUAUUUUUGUUGUGUUUUCCAAACAUUCUUAGUUAAUACAGAUUAUCAUGCCAUCUUGCUGCAAUGCAUGCAAAUCUAUAAAUAGCUUUGUAAACAGAAACAUGUGCCCAUGCAUCUGAUUUUGUUUACCUGUUUCCAAAUGGGGCCUCUCAUUUCCAAAUUUUCAUCGCUUAAGAGUCACUUUUGGGGUUGUAGCUGACUAGCUGUAGUGGUGAAGUCUUUUAUCAGGAAUUCAUCUUUUGAUCCCUUCUAUAUCUGCAAUACGUCAUAUUGCAUGUUCACAAGAAAGAAGACAUCAAUCUGCAUUCUCAUUAAGCAUGAGAUAGUGAAAUUCCCUGAUAUUUCGUUCUAUGCAACUGUAUGGAAUUGGAUCUGGAUUGUUCAUCCAUUGUUGAAUAUGGGAUUGAACAUGCAUGGUCUCGUAAUAUUGCGAGACUUGUCUGAAACGUCUAAGCUGGGAAAUCAGGUCGAUUUAUCUGAGUACUGAGAACGAGCUUCAGAAUAUCUGUAGGACUUAAUAGUGGCCCUUGUUGGCUUUAUGAACAAGGAUGGAGUGUUAAAUCCACUUCCAGCCAAAUAUCAAUUAUGAUAAAUCCACCAUGUACCAUCAUCAUUGGAACAGUCUGGCUAAGUUUAUAUGAUCUCUGUAUGCUAAGUUGAGGAGAUUGUUAAUAUAUGAUCUCUCUUAAAUCUUUAUGCAUAUCCAAGCUCCACAUUGCCUUCUCAUUGCAGAUACAUUAAGUCACUCGUCAUGUUGAAUCUAUCGCCUGAUCAAGUUGAAUAUAACUCCGCGUUGUUAAUUUUUUCAAUAUUCUUGUGGUGGAAACAAUAAGGAUUGCUUAAACUAAGGUCUUCCAAAUGGAAAUAUCAGUGUAAAAUAUAGCGUACUCCCUAGUCCCUAACCAGCAACCUGAACAGCAGGAGGAUAUGUUAUGGGCCGUUAGAAUUUGGAUUGUGAACUAAGAUUAUCUUAUUUUGUCUAGUAUGUUUAUGAUCCAUGGACAAUUGUACUGUCAAUAUAGUUAAAGAAUGGUGUACCAUCAUGCAUGUGGAAUGUUGUGGAUCAUAUUAUGAUGUCAUCGGUACCAUAUAUACUAUCCUGUUGUCAAGAUAACGUAUGCUGCAUACUAAUAUAUCACCCUUGGAAACUUACAUUGACAACACCAGUGAGAAUUGAGAAAUGUCAGACUUUGUAGUAAUGUUGAAAAGGGGUUCUCACGAUGAUCUUUUGCUAAAUAUCACCUUAUUGAGAUAUUUCUUUCAUGCAGAUCCUGGAAGCAAGAGAAGAGUUAUUGCAAAGCUCCCCAAGGAUGAAAAAUGUAGCGCCUGAGGGUCCUAGGGGCUCAUCAGCAAGCAGCAAUGUUCUAUCUACCCAAGCUGAAGAUAGAGAGUUGUCACCCUCAAGCAGCGGGGUACAGUACAGGGUCCUCUACGACUUCAUCAUGGUCUUCAACUCAUAGAAGGUGAGCACCCCGUCUCCGUUGAGAUCGAACCUACGCAUCAUGGCGCGGUACCCGCCGACGUCCCGGCUGGCGCCCGCCUCAGGCUCGUCGGCGUGAUGGCGCGAUGAGAAAGCCCGUGUGCACGCACGGUAUAUGUAGGCGUACAAUACGUGUGCACGGCACAGUUGGCGGUGCCCCUGAACUCAUCGAAGCGCCGUAGUACAAUCAAAGGAAGUAGCAUCCGCCCGCGUCGCCCCGGGCGACACGGGGGAACCCUAGCGCCGCCACCGCCAAGUCCCCCUCGCCCCCUCCCUCGCUUCGCCGCCGCUGGAGGGACCGCCGGCGGAGUCCGCGUGCGCCCCAGGGAAGGUGGCGGUGGGGCGUUUUCCCUCCCCGCGGCGUUGCGCGCGCAUGCGCUGCCUGCGUUGCCUUGGGCGCGGGCGAGAUGCAGGGCCACGGGAGUGGCUUCAGCGCGGGGAGAGGCCGGAUCUUGGCCAGGCUUGGCCGGAUCUAGCUUCUCCGCCCCGGUUGGACGCCCUCGAUGUGGUGCAUGCCGUGUUGACGGACAGUGCUCAUCGACUCCAUGGUGGGGUCGUGGACGCUGAUCUGCGGCGGGUGGCGUUCGACGGCGAGGUGGGGCUCGGUGGCUUCAUGAUGGGGCUGUGAGAUCCGGCGGCCAGCGAGGGCUGGAUCCCGAGGCGGCGGCCCCGGACGGCGGAGGAUGUGUCGGCGGCUGUGGACUCGCGACGGGCGACGCGGCGGCCAUGGUGGUGGAUGAUCCGUGCACAAGACGCUUGAUGGAGGCCAUUGGAACAUAUCUGGGUGAAGACCUGCUCGCGGCUGCUGCCGAGGCCGACGAUGGCGGCACUAUUCGGUGUCGUUCCCUUGUUGAAGGCAUCGCUGUUGAGAAGUUCCAGGCCACUAUCUGCUACCUCCGGGGGAGACCCUAGAUCAGUAGAUCGGAUGACGGCGGCAUUAUUGUGUCGUUUCCCUCUUGUGGCGUCAUUCUUGGAGGUGUACACGGGCUCGAGGGACCAAUGGACGGAAUAUUUGGUGGAGCGGUGAUUCACCCUACACAUUAAUGGUGGCGUAUCUCGGCGGCGUGGCGCAGUGGAGACUCGGCGUCCGAUGUGUGGCGAGGGACUCGCGUAGGAGGGUGGCGUUAUCUGGCGUCGAUGGCAGAGAGGCCAGGCAAGGUGGAUGCAGCAGUACAACACUGAAGAUGGAUUGGUGGCAGGUGGCUGCGGUGGCCUCAUACCUGGCAGGCGUCCUGGUUGAGGAGUGCGCCGGACUGGUAGGUGCCCCAUACCCGGCAGACGUCCUGGUUGGGACCUCAGGUCUUAGAUGUUUAGGUUUUACUGCGAUGUCUGUUUGGUAUUAGGCCCAGGCUAUCAACGCCCCUUCAUCAAUUGGAUAGGAGUAGCGACAGUUGUUGCUUAGACGGUGGCUUUAAUCUUACUGUUGUAUGACUUUGUAAGGUCUUAUGAGAAUAAUUAAUAAAAUGGCCGUAUGCAUCGCCCAGAUGCAGAGGCCGGGGGCCCUCCUCCUUUUCUUAAAAAAAACAAUCAAAGGAAGUUCACCAGGCCAAUAUUGAAGUUCAAUUUUAAGUGGCACGGCGGUUCUAGACAAAUCCAUGGUUCUCGCCUCCAGGUUCUGCUAUAUAUAUUCCGUCAAACAAAUUCACUGGUCCAAAAUUUAACUCGCUCUUGUUGUCACCGUAGGAAUUAGUUGCUGAAGUUAAUCAAACACCAUUCCCAGUUUGCUCGCCCAAACCAAAGAUUCUCAGCUAUAAAUUCUUGCACAGAAGAGCUCCAUCUCAAUCAGCACCCAGUGAACUUGGCCAGAAUUCCUAUCAUUAGCUUCCAGUGAAUGGCUUACAAAGAUUUUGGCUAGCUAGCUUCUGCUGCCGGUGCCAUGCAUGUAUGCACGUGCGCGUGCUGAGUAGUUCAUUCACAUUUCGGUAGACCUGCAAAGAAAUUAAGCGUCCCACUGCGUGUUGCCAAAGAGGGUAUAGCUCCUUGGCGGACGCAACUUCGCGGCAGUUUUCCUUUGUCAUUGCCAUGGGAUGAGACCGUCACAUGCUUGCUCGUUUACAAGCCGAACCGCACCAGGCUCUCCUCCUCACUGUGUGUGUGUGUGUGUGUGCAGCUCACGCUGCGGCUGCUCGACACGUAGUCGGUGUUGGGGAGGCCCCACGCCGAUCCAGUCGCUUUCCUUCCUUCUCUCUCUCGCUGCCUGGCCACUUAAACAGCCCCGGCCGGCCUCCACCACCAGCGUCGUCGUUGUGCUCUGCAAUUGCCGCUCGAGCCCCUUGAGGAAAGAAGCAUACCAAGCGACGAACCUCGCUUGCAUCCGACCAGCGAGUGACGGUGAGUCCCCUCCAUCUCCGGCCACCUUGCUAAUGCUAAUGUGCUUUUCUUCUUCUUCCUUCCUGUUGAAUUAAUAUGGCGACAUGAAAUUAGAGAAGGGGAACUAACCUACGCUGGUGCUGAGCUUGGACAGCCAUGGACGCCGGCAAGACGCCUCAUCCGCUGCCUCUGAGCGCGGCCCAAAAGCAGAUCCGGGAUGAUGUCCCACAGGUCUGCGGAUGGGCGCUCUUCAACGCCUUCGCCAUCGCCGGCGGCCAAGCAUCCCUCUACAUAGCUGGCUACACCCACCUCGCGUGCAACCAGGUAACUAACUACCUGCCCGUGUACUACCCCAUGCUUGACAUUGCGACCGAUUCAUCAUGCGCCAAAGUUGAUAUGGUGUCCUCUGCAGUCAUCAUCCAUUCUGCCCUGCCUCUGGAUCGGGAUGCUGUGCUGCGCCGCAACCCAGUCGGCCGCGGCGGCGCUGGCGCUGCUGCUCCCAUGCCACCGUCGCCGGGCCAUCACCUACCUCGCGCUCGCGGUCACUGUCCUCUUCCAUUGCAUUUACGCCAUCCACUUCCGGAUCUCCCUCGCCGCCUACCCAGGAGGAUACAUCUUCGGCUGGAUCUUUUACACCGUGGUCAUCUGCUACAUGGUGGUGCGCGACCUGACCUGCCUGACCGAUCUCCUUCGAGGUGAUGGUUGGGGCAAGCAGUAGUGCAGUACGCGGUCUAUUAGUUCAGCUAGCUAGCAGCAAGCUGCAAGGGAUCAUGUCCGUGGAUCAGCUCAUGAGGUACUGACGAGAGCCUAGUUCUACUUCUAGGGAAUAAUAUAGAGUAUACAUGCAUUAAUUCCGCUGUGACGAUUGAUGGAGUUGUGCCGUAUUUGCGAAUCUAGUAGCUGGCUGGUGUAGUGUUAAUAUCCAGAUCGACUCCAGUAGUUGGGCAAUGCUUUGCCGGAUAUAUAAUUAGACUGGAUGGAUUGUGGCUAUCUUUGAUGUAUUCGACCUUAAUUUUCUCCAUAUGUGAUCGUCAGACAUGAGUUAUAUGCUUAUUUAGCACCAGCUUCGGUAUAAUUGAUGUUGCUGAAAUUGCUGCUGCAGUGUAUAUCCAUGUUGCUGCUUUGUAUAAUUCGACCUUUUAGUUUCACAGUUUUCCGAACCAAACAACUUCAGAAGGGAAAAUGUGUAGACCCUUUUAAGUUAUUUGCUCGAAAAAAAGAGAGUAAAUACAUGGAGCUAACUUUGCAGUGUAUGUGAGCGCCCCAUUACAAAUACGUGGGAAAUCCCAAAUAUGUAGGCACGAGUGAGUCAACUGACAAGUGUAAUUCCCACAUAAAUACAGUUUAUAUAGAGCUAUUGAUGGAUGACCCCACCGAUGUAUACAUGCAAAUAUGGUUCACCCAUGUAGGCUAAUGGUCUAGACAUAAUUAGCUCCCGUUCUCAUCCGAUGACUCUGAUUCGCUCCAAGGAUCGGAGUAGGUGACCUCUCGGAUGGUCGGGAGGCCAACAUUUUCGUCGUCGUUCGUGAAGUAGAUUGGUUCACCGAUACUGCUUUCCUCGUCGUUCGUGAAGUAGAUUGGUUCUCCAAUACUGCUUUCGUCGUCCGAGAUCGACACGACAUCGACCAGGUUUGUACUGUCGCUGGUGGUGAAGCUGGUGACGAUGCAGUCCUCUGGCGUAUGGCCGAUGAGGCAGUUGCCACAGACAAUCGCGACGAGCUGAGAGGUUUGCGCGGGCCGCUCUGGGCAUAUGAAGCCGGAGCAACCCCGAGCCCCCGUUAUCCGGGGAGAGGGCGCCGCCCACUUGUAAGGUUCCGACGCCCAUGGCGAAAGAAUUUGGGGGCCAGCUUGUAUGGAGGUUGGUGGCGUGGACGUUAAGGCCGUGGGCGACAUCAUGAUCUGUUGGUCUUGGGGCCUCCUCGGGAGGAUGCAUUUGUUGCUGGUGAUCAUGGCAGCUGGACACUAGUAGAAAAACGACCUUACGUGAGACAUAUUAGUCCCGGUUUGAUUUUGGCCUGGUACCAUUACUUCGGUUCGAACGACUAUGCAUUAGUACCGGUUCAUGUUAAAUCUUUAGUACCGGUUCGUGGCGAGAACCGGUACUAAAGGGGUGGUGGCAGGCUGGCGUCAGGCCGGGGCCCCACGAGCCCCUUUAAUGCCGGUUUGUGACUAAAGGUCUACCUUUAGUCCCGGUUUGUGUCACAAACCGACACUAAAGGGGUCUUAACCUAUAGUCCCGAUUGGAGACACAAACCGGAACUAUAGGGCAAUUUUCAAACUCUACCCNNNNNNNNNNNNNNNNNNNNNNNNNNNNNNNNNNNNNNNNNNNNNNNNNNNNNNNNNNNNNNNNNNNNNNNNNNNNNNNNNNNNNNNNNNNNNNNNNNNNNNNNNNNNNNNNNNNNNNNNNNNNNNNNNNNNNNNNNNNNNNNNNNNNNNNNNNNNNNNNNNNNNNNNNNNNNNNNNNNNNNNNNNNNNNNNNNNNNNNNNNNNNNNNNNNNNNNNNNNNNNNNNNNNNNNNNNNNNNNNNNNNNNNNNNNNNNNNAAAAAACAAAAGAAAAUGAGAAAAACUUCAAAAAUUAAAAUUCUUCGAGAUGUAGUUAUGUUACUGCAUCUACUAGUUAGGUAAAUUUAAGAACAUAAGUUUCGACAUGUUUUGCAAAAAAGUGUGAUGAAAAACUAAAACGACUAUAUCUUUUGCAUACGAUGUUGCAAAAAAGUAUAAUAUAUCAAAAUGUUCAGCACGAAAAUCCGCAUCCGAUUUUGACCGCCGUAGGCCGUUUUGCAUAUUUUCAGAAUCCUCAAACUCUAAAAGGAAAAAAAGAUAUGCUCAAAUUUCAGUUUUUUUGAAUUUUGGUUAAAUCUGGUCAAACUGUGGUCAAACUACUUAUUCAAGAAAUAUUAGUGUUACUAAAUAAUUAUUCAAGACUAUUAGUGUUACUAAAUAAUUAUUUUAUUUUUUGUGAGUUUUGGUCAAAUCUGGUCAAACUGUGGUCAAACUAUGGUCAAACUACUUAUUCAAGAAAUAUUAGUGUUACUAAAUAAUUAUUGUUUUUUAAAAUAAUAGUUUCAAACUCAAACGGUGAAACAUGUCACUUCAUGCUCAAGCUAAACUACUGACGCUUAAUAGGAUUUACAACUUACUAUUGUCAGCAAAACAAUAAGUGCAGACUUGGAAACUAGGAGGAAUAAAACUUGGAAGUUAAGAGUGCUCAGGCUAGAGUAGUGCAAGGAUGGGUGACCGGCCGGAAAGUUAGACGAUUUGAAAUGAGUGAUCCACACUUGAGCAGUUAUGAGGGGUGAUUAGAGACUAAAUCGUCAAAUAAUUCAGAAAAUUGAAAAUUGAAAAAAAAAUCAUAAUCAUUUUCUUUUCCAAAAAAAAACCCUUUAGUAUCGGUUGGUGUUACCAACCGGUACUAAAGGUCUCUCAGCCCCCGCCGCUGGCUCGUGCCACGUGGUGGCCCUUUAGUGGCAGUUCGUGUUGAACCGGUACUAAAUCGUCAAAUAAUUCAGAAAAUUGAAAAUCGAAAAAAAAUCAUAAUCAAUUUUUUCCAAAAAAUAAAAAAACAUUUAGUACCGGUUGGUGUUACCAACCGGUACUAAAGGUCGCCCAGCCCCCGCCGCUGGCUCGUGCCACGUGGUGGUCCUUUAGUGGCGGUUCGUGUUGAACCAGUACUAAAGGUGGGGGGCCUUUAGUCCCCACCCUUUAGUGCCGGUUACAGAACCUACACUAAAGGGCCUAACGAACCGGUGCUAUAACUCGGUUCUGCACUAGUGGGGUUCACCUUGGUUGUAGUGUAUGGGUGGGCCGGUGGGAUGACAUUGACCCGGUCUGCUCCGUCGACGAUGAAGGUGAGAGAGCCGAAGAUUAGGCUUUCUCCCGGCUGCCGAGACACAAAGAAGAUCCAAUCUGAGAUCAGUCUAGUCGGCACCACCCGUGCCUGGUGCGCCAACUGACGGUGCAAAACACCGUCAGAUCCCUCGGUAGAGGUCCAAGCGCAGCUGGAAGUCUUAGAUCGGGAGAUCACAAAAGGGUUUUACCUUGGUUCAGGCCUCCGGAGAGUAAUACCCUAUAUCCUGCUUGUUUUGGUUAUUCAUUGUGGAGGGAUACCUCGUGCGAGGGGUUAUAAUGGUGUAUGAGAUUGCUACCGAGGGUUUCUAUGUGAAAAUACAUAAAAAAAUAAGGGUUCCCUAGCCUUCCCUUGUAUAGGUGGUGGAGGCCUAGGGUUGACAGUGGUAGAUGCAAUGUCCUUUGCUGUUGGGGAACGUAGUAAUUUCAAAAAAUUUCCUACGCACACGCAAGAUCAUGGUGAUGCAUAGCAACGAGAGGGGAGAGUGUUGUCCACGUACCCUCGUAGACCGACAGCGGAAACAUUAUCACAACGCGGUUGAUGUAGUCGUACGUCUUCACGAUCCGACCGAUCAAGUACCGAACGCACGGCACCUCCGAAGUUCUACACACGUUCAGCUCGAUGACGUCCCUCGAACUCUGAUCCAGCCAAGUGUUGAGGGAGAGUUUCGUCAGCACGAUGGCGUGGUGACGAUGAUGAUGUUCCACCGACGCAUGGCUUCGCCUAAGCUCCGCGACGGCAUUAUCGAGGUGUAAUCUGGUGGAGGGGGGCACCGCACACGGCUAAAAUAUCGUAUAUCAAAGUGUGUAGAGAGGUGCCCCCCUGCCCCCGUAUAUAAAGGAGCAAGGGAGGAGGAGGCCGGCCCUAGGAGGGGGCGCACCAAGUGUGGAGUCCUACUAGGACUCCCUAGUCCUAGUAGGAUUCCACCUCCCAUAUGGAAUAGGAAAAGAGGAAGGGAAAAAGAGAAGGAAGGAAGGGGGCGACCCCUUCCCUAGUCCAAUUCGGACCAGACCAAGGGGAGGGGUGCGGCCACCCUUGAGGCCCUUUUCCUUCUUUCCCGUAUGGCCCAAUAAGGCCCAAUACGUAUUCCCGUAACUCUCCGGUACUCCGAAAAAUACCCGAAUCAUUCGGAACCUUUCCGAAGUCCGAAUAUAGUCGUCCAAUAUAUCGAUCUUUACGUCUCGACCAUUUCGAGACUCCUCGUCAUGUCCCCGAUCUCAUCCGGGACUCCGAACUCCUUCGGUACAUCAACAUACAUAAACUCAUAAUAAAACUGUCAUCGUAACUUUAAGCGUGCGGACCCUUUGGGUUCGAGAACUAUGUAGACAUGACCGAGACACCUCUCCGGUCAAUAACCAAUAGCGGGACCUAGAUGCCCAUAUUGGCUCCCACAUAUUCUACGAAGAUCUUUAUCGGUCAGACCGCAUAACAACAUACGUUGUUCCCUUUGUCAUCGGUAUGUUACUUGCCCGAGAUUCGAUCGUCGGUAUCUCGAUACCUAGUUCAAUCUCGUUACCGGCAAGUCUCUUUACUCGUUCUGUAAUACAUCAUCCCGCAACUAACUCAUUAGUCACAAUGCUUGCAAGGCUUAUAGUGAUGUGCAUUACCGAGUGGGCCCAGAGAUACCUCUCCGACAAUCGGAGUGACAAAUCCUAAUCUCGAAAUACGCCAACCCAACAAGUACCUUUGGAGACACCUGUAGAGCACCUUUAUAAUCACUCAUUUACGUUGUGACGUUUGGUAGCACACAAAGUGUUCCUCCGGUAAACGGGAGUUGCAUAAUCUCAUAGUCAUAGGAACAUGUAUAAGUCAUGAAGAAAGCAAUAGCAACAUACUAAACGAUCGGGUGCUAAGCUAACGUAAUGGGUCAUGUCAAUCACGUCAUUCUCCUAAUGAGGUGAUCCCGUUAAUCAAAUGACAACUCAUGUCUAUGGCUAGGAAACAUAACCAUCUUUGAUUAACGAGCUAGUCAAGUAGAGGCAUACUAGUGACACUUUGUUUGUCUAUGUAUUCACACAUGUAUUAUGUUUCCGGUUAAUACAAUUCUAGCAUGAAUAAUAAACAUUUAUCAUGAUAUAAGGAAAUAUAUAAUACUUUAUUAUUGCCUCUAAGGCAUAUUUCCUUCAGUCUCCCACUUGCACUAGAGUCAAUAAUCUAGUUCACAUCGCCAUGUGAUUUAACAUCAAUAAUUCACAUCACCAUGUGAUUAACACCCAUAGUUCACAUCUCUAUGUGACCAACACUCAAAGGGUUUACUAGAGUCAAUAAUCUAGUUCACAUCUCUAUGUGAUUAACACCCAAAGAGUACUAAGGUGUGAUCAUGUUUUGAUUGUGAGAUAAUUUUAGUCAACGGGUCUGUCACAUUCAGAUCCGUAAGUAUUUUGUAAAUUUCUAUGUCUACAAUGCUCUGCACGGAGCUACUCUAGCUAAUUGCUCCCACUUUCAAUAUGUAUCUAGACCGAGACUUAGAGUCAUCUAGAUUUAGUGUCAAAACUUGCAUCGACGUAACCCUUUACGACGAACCUUUUGUCACUUCCAUAAUCGAGAAACAUAUCCUUAUCCUUUUCAGGUAUUUCAGGAUGUUCUUGACCGCUAUCCAGUGAUCCACUCCUGGAUUACUUUGGUACCUUCUUGCUAGACUUAUAGCAAGGCAUACAUCAGGUCUGGUACACAGCAUUGCAUACAUGAUAGAGCCUAUGGCUGAAGCAUAGGGGACAUCUUUCAUCUUCUCUCUAUCUUCUGCAGUGGUCGGGCAUUGAGUCUUACUCAACUUCACACCUUGCAACACAGGCAAGAAUCCUUUCUUUGCUUGAUCCAUUUUGAACUUCUUCAAAACUUUGUCAAGGUAUGUGCUUUGUGAAAGUCCAAUUAAGCGUCUUGAUCUAUCUCUAUAGAUCUUGAUGCCCAAUAUAUACGCAGCUUCACCGAGGUCUUUCAUUGAAAAACUCUUAUUCAAGUAUCCCUUUAUGCUAUCCAGAAAUUCUAUAUCAUUUUCAAUCAGUAAUAUGUCAUCCACAUAUAAUAUCAGAAAUGUUACAGAGCUCCCACUCACUUUCUUGUAAAUACAGGCUUCUCCAAAAGUCUGUAUAAAACCAAAUGCUUUGAUCACAUUAUCAAAGCGUUUAUUCCAACUCCGAGAGGCUUGCACCAGUCCAUAAAUGGAUCGCUGGAGCUUGCACACUUUGUUAGCUCCCUUUGGAUCGACAAAACCUUCUGGUUGCAUCAUAUACAACUCUUCUUCCAGAAAUCCAUUCAGGAAUGCAGUUUUGACAUCCAUUUGCCAAAUUUCAUAAUCAUAAAAUGCGGCAAUUGCUAACAUGAUUCGGACAGACUUAAGCAUCGCUACGGGUGAGAAGGUCUCAUCGUAGUCAAUCCCUUGAACUUGUCGAAAACCUUUCGCAACAAGUCGAGCUUUAUAGAUAGUAACAUUACCAUCAGCGUCAGUCUUCUUCUUGAAGAUCCAUUUAUUUUCAAUGGCUUGCCGAUCAUUGGGCAAGUCAACCAAAGUCCAUACUUUGUUCUCAUACAUGGAUCCCAUCUCAGAUUUCAUGGCCUCAAGCCAUUUUGCGGAAUCUGGGCUCACCAUCGCUUCUUCAUAGUUCGUAGGUUCGUCAUGGUCUAGUAACAUAACUUCCAGAACAGGAUUACCGUACCACUCUGGUGCGGAUCUUACUCUGGUUGAUCUACGAGGUUCAGUAAUAACUUGAUCUGAAGUUUCAUGAUCAUCAUCAUUAACUUCCUCACUAAUUGGUGUAGGUGUCUCAGAAACAGGUUUCUGUGAUGAACUACUUUCCAAUAAGGGAGCAGGUAUAGUUACCUCAUCAAGUUCUACUUUCCUCCCACUCACUUCUUUCGAGAGAAACUCCUUCUCUAGAAAGGAUCCAUUUUUAGCAACGAAUGUCUUGCCUUCGGAUCUGUGAUAGAAGGUGUACCCAACUGUCUCCUUUGGGUAUCCUAUGAAGACACAUUUCUCCGAUUUGGGUUUGAGCUUAUCAGGAUGAAACUUUUUCACAUAAGCAUUGCAACCCCAAAAUUUUAAGAAACGACAACUUUGGUUUCUUGCCAAACCACAGUUCAUAAGGCGUCGUCUCAACGGAUUUUGAUGGUGCCCUAUUUAACGUGAAUGUAGCUGUCUCUAAUGCAUAACCCCAAAACGAUAGUGGUAAAUUGGUAAGAGACAUCAUAGAUUGCACUAUAUCCAAUAAAGUAUGGUUAUGACGUUCGGACACACCAUUAUACUGUGGUGUUCCAGGUGGCAUGAGUUUGUGGAACUAUUCCACAUUGUUUUAAUUGAAGGCCAAACUUGUAACUCAAAUAUUUGUCUCUGCGAUCAGAUCGUAGAAACUUUAUUUUCUUGUUACGAUGAUUUUCUACUUCACUCUGAAAUUAUAUGAACUUUUCAAAUGUUUCAGACUUCUGUUUCAUUAAGUAGAUAUACCCAUAUCUGCUCAAAUCAUCUGUGAAGGUCAGAAAAUAAUGAUACCUGCUACGAGCCUCAAUAUUCAUCGGGCCACAUACAUCUGUAUGUAUGAUUUCCAACAAAUCUGUUGCUCUCUCCAUAGUUCCGGAGAACGGCGUUUUAGUCAUCUUGCCCAUGAGGCACGGAUCGCAAGCAUCAAGUGAUUCAUAAUCAAGUGAUUCCAAAAUCCCAUCAGUAUGGAGUUUCUUCAUGCGCUUUACACCAAUAUGACCUAAACGGCAAUGCCACAAAUAAGUUGCACUAUCAUUAUUAACUUUGCAUCUUUUGGCUUCAAUAUUAUGAUUAUGUGUAUCACUACGAUCGAGAUCCAACAAACCAUUUUCGUUGGUGUGUAUGACCAUAGAAGGUUUUUAUUCAUGUAAACAGAACAACAAUUGUUCUCUAACUUAAAUGAAUAACAGUAUUGCAAUGAUCAAAUCAUUUUCAUGCUCAACGCAAACACCAAAUAACACUUAUUUAGUUUCAACACUAAUCCCGAAAGUACAGGGAGUGUGCGAUGAUGAUCAUAUCAAUCUUGGAACUACUUCCAACACACAUCGUCACCUCGCCUUUUACUAGUCUCUGUUUAUUCUGCAACUCCCGUUUCGAGUUACUACUCUUAGCAACUGAACCAGUAUCAAAUACCGAGGGGUUGCUAUAAACACUAGUAAAGUACACAUCAAUAACAUGUAUAUCCAAUAUACCUUUGUUCACUUUGCCAUCCUUCUUAUCCACCAAAUAGUUGGGGUAGCUCCGCUUCCAGUGACCAGUCCCUUUGCAGUAGAAGCACUUAGUCUCAGGCUUAGGACCAGACUUAGGCUUCUUCACUUGAGCAGCAACUUGCUUGCCGUUCUUCUUGAAGUUCCCCUUCUUCCCUUUGCCCUUUUCUUGAAACUAGUGGUCUCGUCAACCAUCAACACUUGAUGUUUUUCUUGAUUUCUACCUUCAUCGAUUUCAGCAUCACGAAGAGCUCGGGAAUUACUUUCGUCAUCCCUUGCAUACUAUAGUUCAUCACGAAGUUCUACUAACUUGGUGAUGGUGACUAGAGAAUUCUGUCAAUCACUAUUUUAUCUGGAAGAUUAACUCCCACUUGAUUCAAGCGAUUGUACCCAGACAAUCUGAGCACAUGCUCACUAGUUGAGCGAUUCUCCUCCAUCUUUUAGCUAUAGAACUUGUUGGAGACUUCAUAUCUCUCAACUCGGGUAUUUGCUUGAAAUAUUAACUUCAACUCCUGGAACAUCUCAUAUGGUUCAUGACGUUCAAAACGUCUUUGAAGUCCCGAUUCUAAGCCGUUAAGCAUGGUGCACUAAACUAUCAAGUAGUCAUCAUAUUGAGCUAGCCAAACGUUCAUAACGUCUGCAUCUGCUCCUGCAAUAGGUCUGUCACCUAGCGGUGCAUCAAGGACAUAAUUUUCUGUGCAGCAAUGAGGAUAAUCCUCAGAUCACGGAUCCAAUCCGCAUCUUUGCUACUAACAUCUUUCAACAUAAUUUUUCUCUAGGAACAUAUCAAAAAUAAACACAGGGAAGCAACAACGCGAGCUAUUGAUCUACAACAUAAUUUGCAAAAUACUAUCAGGACUAAGUUCAUGAUAAAUUUAAGUUCAAUUAAUCAUAUUACUUAAGAACUCCCACUUAGAUAGACAUCCCUCUAAUCCUCUAAGUGAUCACAUGAUCCAUAUCAAUUAAACCAUGUCCGAUCAUCACGUGAGAUGGAGUAGUUUCAAUGGUGAACUCACUAUGUUGAUCAUAUCUACUAUAUGAUUCACGCUCGACCUUUCGGUCUCCGUGUUCCGAGGCCAUAUCUGUUAUAUGCUAGGCUCGUCAAGUUUAACCUGAGUAUUCCGCGUGUGCAACUGUUUUGCACCCGUUGUAUUUGAACGUAGAGCCUAUCACACCCGAUCAUCACGUGGUGUCUCAGCACGAAGAACUUUUGCAACGGUGCAUACUCAGGGAGAACACUUUUAUCUUGAAAUUUUAGUGAGAGAUCAUCUUAUAAUGCUACCGUCAAUCAAAGCAAGAUAAGAUGCAUAAAAGAUUAACAUCACAUGCAAUCAAUAUAAGUGAUAUGAUAUGGCCAUCAUCAUCUUCUGCUUGUGAUCUCCAUCUCCGAAGCACCGUGCUCGUGAUCUCCAUCUCCGAGGCACCGUCAUGAUCACCAUCGUCACCGGCGCAACACCUUGAUCUCCAUCGUAGUAUCAUUGUCGUCUCGCCAACUUAUUGCUUUUACGACUAUCGCUACCGCUUAGUGAUAAAGUAAAACUAUUACAUGGCGAUUGCAUCUCAUACAAUAAAGUGACAACCAUAUGGCUCCUGCCAGUUGCCGAUAACUCGGUUACAAAACAUGAUCAUCUCAUACAACACAUUAUAUCACAUCAUGUCUUGACCAUAUCACCUCACAACAUGCCCUGCAAAAACAAGUUAGACGUCCUCUACUUUGUUGUUGCAAGUUUUUACGUGGCUGCUACGGGCUUAGCAAGAACCGUUCUUACCUACGCAUCAAAACCAUAAUGAUAGUUUGUCAAGUUGGUGCUGUUUUAACCUUCGCAAGGACCGGGCGUAGCCACACUCGGUUCAACUAAAGUGAGAGAGACAGACACCCGCCAGUCACCUUUAAGCAACGAGUGCUCCGAACGGUGAAACCAGUCUCGCGUAAGCGUACGCGUAAUGUCGGUCCGGGCCGCUUCAUCUCACAAUACCGCUGAACCAAAGUAUGACAUGCCGGUAAGCAGUAUGACUUAUAUCGCCCACAACUCACUUGUGUUCUACUCGUGCAUAGCAUCAACGCAUAAAACCAGGCUCGGAUGCCACUGUUGGGGAACGUAGUAAUUUCAAAAAUAUUCCUACGCACACGCAAGAUCAUGGUGAUGCAUAGGAACGAGAGGGGAGAGUGUUGUCCACGUACCCUCGUAGAUCGACAGCGGAAGCGUUAUCACAACGCGGUUGAUCUAGUCGUACGUCUUCACGAUCCGACCGAUCAAGUACCGAACGCACGGCACCUCCGAAGUUCUACACACGUUCAGCUCGAUGACGUCCCUCGAACUCCGAUCCAGCCAAGUGUUGAGGGAGAGUUUCGUCAGCACGAUGGCGUGGUGACGAUGAUGAUGUUCCACCGACACAGGGCUUCGCCUAAGCUCCGCGACGGUAUUAUCGAGGUGUAAUCUGGUGGAGGGGGGCACCGCACACGGCUAAAAUAUCGUAUAUCAAAGUGUGUAGAGAGGUGCCCCCUGCCCCCGUAUAUAAAGGAGCAAGGGAGGAGGAGGCCGGCCCUAGGAGGGGGCGCACCAAGUGUGGAGUCCUACUAGGACUCCCUAGUCCUAGUAGGAUUCCACCUCCCAUAUGGAAUAGGAAAAGAGGAAGGGAAAAAGAGAAGGAAGGAAGGGGGCGCCCCCCUUCCCUAGUCCAAUUCGGACCAGACCAAGGGGAGGGGUGCGGCCACCAUUGAGGCCCUUUUCCUUCUUUCCCGUAUGGCCCAAUAAGGCCCAAUACGUAUUCCCGUAACUCUCCGGUACUCCGAAAAAUACCCGAAUCAUUCGGAACCUUUCCGAAGUCGGAAUAUAGUCGUCCAAUAUAUUGAUCUUUACAUCUCGACCAUUUCUAGACUCCUCGUCAUGUCCCCGAUCUCAUCCGGGACUCCGAACUCCUUCGGUACAUCAACAUACAUAAACUCAUAAUAAAACUGUCAUCGUAACUUUAAGCGUGCGGACCCUUUGGGUUCGAGAACUAUGUAGACAUGACCGAGACACCUCUCCGGUCAAUAACCAAUAGCGGGACCUAGAUGCCCAUAUUGGCUCCCACAUAUUCUACGAAGAUCUUUAUCGGUCAGACCGCAUAACAACAUACGUUGUUCCCUUUGUCAUCGGUAUGUUACUUGCCCGAGAUUCGAUCGUCGGUAUCUCGAUACCUAGUUCAAUCUCGUUACCGGCAAGUCUCUUUACUCGUUCUGUAAUACAUCAUCCCGCAACUAACUCAUUAGUCACAAUGCUUGCAAGGCUUAUAGUGAUGUGCAUUACCGAGUGGGCCCAGAGAUACCUCUCCGACAAUCGGAGUGACAAAUCCUAAUCUCGAAAUACGCCAACCCAACAAGUACCUUUGGAGACACCUGUAGAGCACCUUUAUAAUCACCCAUUUACGUUGUGACGUUUGGUAGCACACAAAGUGUUCCUCCGGUAAAUGGGAGUUGCAUAAUCUCAUAGUCAUAGGAACAUGUAUAAGUCAUGAAGAAAGCAAUAGCAACAUACUAAACGAUCGGGUGCUAAGCUAACGUAAUGGGUCAUGUCAAUCACGUCAUUCUCCUAAUGAGGUGAUCCCGUUAAUCAAAUGACAACUCAUGUCUAUGGCUAGGAAACAUAACCAUCUUUGAUUAACGAGCUAGUCAAGUAGAGGCAUACUAGUGACACUCUAUUUGUCUAUGUAUUCACACAUGUAUUAUGUUUCCGGUUAAUACAAUUCUAGCAUGAAUAAUAAACAUUUAUCAUGAUAUAAGGAAAUAUAUAAUACUUUAUUAUUGCCUCUAGGGCAUAUUUCCUUCAUUUGCCGCCGCCCUUGUCUUGAAGGAUAAGAAGGUUCCAACGCCCUCCUUAGGGUUUCUCCCUUGUCUUGGGCCUUGUGGGCCCUAGUCAAGCCUGAGGCCGGGCUCCCUUGGGUGAGCCACCCCCGGUGUAUGACACUUUCAAGGAGGUUUUGCAAGCGAUAAAUACUUGCAUGAUCCCAUCUGGUUGGACUGAUACUGCGAUUGUGAUGAUCUCUAAGGUUAAUUUUCCAAAGAAGGUAACCUAAUUUAGGCCGGUCAGCUUGUGUAAUGUGGUAUAUAAAAUAAUUGCGAAGUUGGUUGCCUCUCGCUUUAAAGUUUUCCUACCUGAUAUUAUUAGGCCGACUCGGAGUGCUUUUGUCGUCAGCUCUUUCUUUGCCGUCAGUUUUCUAUAAGCUGAUGGCAAAGACCUUCUUUGCCGUCAGCUAGCACACAUCAAAGAACUGGCUGACGAUAAAAGAUCCUGAUUCCAAUAGUGCUGGUGGAUUGAUACGGAUAAUAUUUUAGUGUCUUACAUGUGCUUCCAUACAAUCAAGAACAAAAGAGAAAGUAAAGAGAGAUUGUGUGCUAUAAAACUAGAUAUUCACAAAGCUUAUGGCCAAGUUGAGUGGCCUUUUCUAAAGGAUAUUAUACCGAGUCUUGGUUUCCGUGAAAAUUGGGUAAAAUUUUAUAUGCAAUGCGUCUCAACAGUUGAAUGCCGAGUUUGGUUUAAUGCGGAGGAAAGUGGAUUUUAGAUGCCUAUAAAGGGUUUAAGGCACGGUGACCCAUUGUCACCUUACCUAUUCUUAUUGUUAACGGAGGGGAUGACUGCUCUUCUCAUACUCGCAGAGGAAAAUGAAAAUAUUUCAGGAGUGAAGUCUGUAGAAAUGUGUUGGGUAACGUAGUAAUUUCAAAAAAUUCCUACGCACACGCAAGAUCAUGGUGAUGCAUAGCAACGAGAGGGGAGAGUGUGUCCACGUACCCUCGUAGACCGAAAGCGGAAGCGUUAGCACAACGCGGUUGAUGUAGUCGUACGUCUUCACGAUCCGACCGAUCCAAGUACCGAACGUACGGCACCUCCGAGUUCAGCACACGUUCAGCUCGAUGACGUCCCUCGAACUCUGAUCCAGCCGAGCUUUGACGGAGAGUUCCGUCAGCACGACGGCGUGGUGACGAUGAUGAUGUUCUACCGACGCAGGGCUUCACCUAAGCACCGCUACGAUAUGAUCGAGGUGGAUUAUGGUGGAGGGGGGCACCGCACACGGCUAAGAGAUCAAUGAUCAAUUAUUGUGUCUCUGGGUGCCCCCCUGCCCCUGUAUAUAAAGGAGCAAGGGAGGAGAGGCGGCCGGCCAGGAGGGGGCGCGCCAGGAGGAGUCCUACUCCCCCUUCCUUGUUGGAUUAGGAGAAGGGGGAAGGAGGAGGGAGAGAGGAAGGAAAAGGGGGCGCCGCCCCCCCUCCUUGUCCAAUUCGGACUAGAGGGGGAGGGGGCGUGCGGCCUGCCCUGGCCGCCCCUCCUCUUCUCCACUAAGGCCCAUGUAGGCCCAUUAAACCCCCGGGGGGGUUCCGGUAACCUCCCGGUACUCCGGUAUAGACCGAUAACCCCCGGAACCAUUCCGGUGUCCGAAUAUAGUCGUCCAAUAUAUCAAUCUUCAUGUCUCGACCAUUUCGAGACUCCUCGUCAUGUCCGUGAUCACAUCCGGGACUUCGAACUAUCUUCCGUACAUCAAAACACAUAAACUCAUAAUAUAACCGUCAACAAACUUUAAGCGUGCGGACCCUACGGGUUCGAGAACUAUGUAGACAUGACCGAGACACGUCUCUUGUCAAUAACCAAUAGCAGAACCUGGAUGCUCAUACUGGCUCCCACAUAUUCUACGAAGAUAUUUAUCGGUCAAACCGCAUAACAACAUACGUUGUUCCCUUUGUCAUCGGUAUGUUACUUGCCCGAGAUUCGUUCAUCGGUAUCUCAAUACCUAGUUCAAUCUCGUUACCGACAAGUCUCUUUACUCGUUCUGUAAUACAUCAUCCCACAACUAACUCAUUAGUUGCAAUGCUUGCAAGGCUUAAGUGAUGUACAUUACCGAGUGGGCCCAGAGAUACCUCUCCGACAAUCGGAGUGACAAAUCCUAAUCUCGAAAUACGCCAACCCAACAAGUACCUUUGGAGACACCUGUAGAGCACCUUUAUAAUCACCCAGUUACGUUGUGACGUUUGGUAGCACACAAACUGUUCCUCCGGUAAACGGGAGUUGCAUAAUCUCAUAGUCAUAGGAACAUGUAUAAGUCAUGAAGAAAGCAAUAGCAACAUACUAAACGAUCGAGUGCUAAGCUAACGGAAUGGGUCAAGUCAAUCACAUCAUUCUCCUAAUGAUGUCAUCCCGUUAAUCAAAUGACAACUCAUGUCAAUGGCUAGGAAACAUAACCAUCUUUGAUCAACAAGCUAGUCAAGUAGAGGCAUACUAGUGACACUCUGUAUGUCUAUGUAUUCACACAAGUAUUAUGUUUCCAGUUAAUACAAUUCUAGCAUGAAUAAUAAACAUUUAUCAUGAUAUAAGGAAAUAAAUAAUAACUUUGUUAUUGCCUCUAGGGCAUAUUUCCUUCAGUCUCCCACUUGCACUAGAGUCAAUAAUCUAGAUUACACAGUAAUGAUUCUAACACCCAUGGAGCCUUGGUGCUGACCAUGUUUUGCUCGUGGAAGAGGCUUAGUCAAUGGGUCUGCAACAUUCAGAUCCGUAUGUAUCUUGCAAAUUUCUAUGUCUCCCACCUGGACUAGAUCCCAGAUGGAGUUGAAGCGUCUCUUGAUGUGCUUGGUUCUCUUGUGAAAUCUGGAUUCCUUUGCCAAGGCAAUUGCACCAGUAUUGUCACAAAAGAUUUUCAUUGGUCCCGAUGCACUAGGUAUGACACCUAGAUCGGAUAUGAACUUCUUCAUCCAGACUCCUUCAUUUGCUGCUUCCGAAGUAGCUAUGUACUCCGCUUCACACGUAGAUCCCGCCACAACGCUUUGUUUAGAACUGCACCAACUGACGGCUCCACCGUUCAAUGUAAACACGUAUCCGGUUUGCGGUUUAGAAUCGUCCGGAUCAGUGUCAAAGCUUGCAUCAAUGUAACCAUUUACGACUAGCUCUUUGUCACCUCCAUAAACGAGAAACAUAUCCUUAGUCCUUUUGAGGUAUUUCAGUAUGUUCAUGACUGCUGUCCAGUGAUCCACUCCUGGAUUACUUUGGUACCUCCCUGCUAUACUUAUAGCAAGGCACACAUCAGGUCUGGUACACAACAUUGCAUACAUGAUAGAGCCUAUGGCUGAAGCAUAGGGAACAUCUUUCAUCUUCUCUCUAUCUUCUGCAGUGGUCGGGCAUCGAGUCUUACUCAACUUCACACCUUGUAACACAGGCAAGAACCCUUUCUUUGCUUGAUCCAUUUUGAACUUCUUCAAAACCUUGUCAAGGUAUGUGCUUUGUGAAAGUCCAAUUAAGCGUCUUGAUCUAUCUCUGUAGAUCUUGAUUCCCAAUAUGUAAGCAGCUUCACCGAGGUCCUUCAUUGAAAAACUCUUAUUCAAGUAUCCCUUUAUGCUAUCCAGAAAUUCUAUAUCAUUUCCAAUCAACAAUAUGUCAUCCACAUAUAAUAUCAGAAAUGCUACAGAGCUCCCACUCACUUUCUUGUAAAUACAGGCUUCUCCAAAAGUCUGUAUAAAACAAAAUGCUUUGAUCACACUAUCAAAGCAUUUAUUCCAACUCCGAGAGGCUUGCACCAGUCCAUCAAUGGAUCGCUGGAGCUUGCACACUUUGUUAGCUCCCUUUGGAUCGACAAAACCUUCCGGUUGCAUCAUAUACAACUCUUCUUCUAGAAAUCCAUUCAGGAAUGCAGCUUUGACAUCCAUUUGCCAAAUUUCAUAAUCAUAAAAUGCGGCAAUUGCUAACAUGAUCCGGACAGACUUAAGCAUCGCUACGGGUGAGAAAGUCUCAUCGUAGUUAAUCCCUUGAACUUUUCGAAAACCUUUUGCAACAAGUCGAGCUUUAUAGACAGUAACAUUACCGUCAGCGUCAGUCUUCUUCUUGAAAAUCCAUUUAUUCUCAAUGGCUUGCCGAUCAUCGGGCAAGUCUACCAAAGUCCACACUUUGUUCUCAUACAUGGAUCCCAUCUCAGAUUUCAUGGCCUCAAGCCAUUUUGCGGAAUCUGGGCUUACCAUCGCUUCUUCAUAGUUCGUAGGUUCGUCAUGGUCUAGUAACAUAACUUCUAGAACAGGAUUACCGUACCACUCUGGUGCGGAUCUUACUCUGGUUGAUCUACGAGGUUCAGUAACAACUUGAUCUGAAGUUUCAUGAUUAUCAUCAUUAACUUCCUCACUAAUUGGUGUAGACAUCACAGGAACCGGUUUCUGUGAUGAACUACUUUCCAAUAAGGGAGCAGGUACUGUUACCUCAUCAAGUUCUACUUUCCUCCCACUCACUUCUUUCGAGAGAAACUCCUUCUCUAGAAAGGAUCCAUUCUUAGCAACGAAUGUCUUGCCUUCGGAUCUGUGAUAGAAGGUGUACCCAACAGUUUCCUUUGGGUAUCCUAUGAAGACAUAUUUCUCCGAUUUGGGUUCGAGCUUAUCAGGUUGAAGCUUUUUCACAUAAGCAUCGCAGCCCCAAACUUUAAGAAACGACAACUUUGGUUUCUUGCCAAACCACAGUUCAUAAGGCGUCGUCUCAAUGAAUUUCGGGUGGCGUGAGUUGCGAAACUAUUCCGCAUUGUUUCAAAUGUAGACCAAACUCGUAACUCAAAUAUUCUCCUCCACGAUCAGAUCGUAGAAACUUUAUUUUCUUGUUAUGAUGAUUUUCCACUUCACUCUGAAAUUCUUUGAACUUUUCAAAUGUUUCAGACUUAUGUUUCAUUAAGUAGAUAUACCCAUAUCUGCUUAAAUCAUCUGUGAAGGUGAGAAAAUAACGAUACCCGCCGCGAGCCUCAACAUUCAUUGGACCACAUACAUCUGUAUGUAUGAUUUUCAACAAAUAUGUUGCUCGCUCCAUAGUUUUGGAGAACGACGUUUUAGUCAUCUUGCCCAUGAGGCACGGUUCGCAAGUACCAAGUGAUUCAUAAUCAAGUGGUUCCAAAAGUCCAUCAGUAUGGAGUUUCUUCAUGCGCUUUACACCAAUAUGACCUAAACGAUAGUGCCACAAAUAAGUUGCACUAUCAUUAUCAACUCUGCAUCUUUUGGCUUCAAUAUUAUGAAUAUGUGUAUCACUACUAUCGAGAUUCAACAAAAAUAGACCACUCUUCAAGGGUGCAUGACCAUAAAAGAUAUUACUCAUAUAAAUAGAACAACCAUUAUUCUCUGAUUUAAAUGAAUAACCGUCUCACAUCAAACAAGAUCAAGAUAUAAUGUUCAUGCUCAACGCUGGCACCAAAUAACAAUUAUUCAGGUCUAAAACUAAUCCCGAAGGUAUAUGUAGAGGUAGCGUGCCGACCGCGAUCACAUCGACUUUGGAACCAUUUCCCACGCGCAUCGUCACCUCGUCCUUAGCCAAUCUUCGCUUAAUCCGUAGUCCCUGUUUCGAGUUGCAAAUAUUAGGAACAGAACCAGCAUCAAAUACCCAGGUGCUACUGCGAGCAUUAGUAAGGUACACAUCAAUAACAUGUAUAUCACAUAUACCUUUGUUCACCUUGUCAUCCUUCUUAUCCGCCAAAUACUUGGGGCAGUUCCCCUUCCAGUGACCAGUCUGCUUGCAGUAGAAGCACUCAGUCUCAGGCUUAGGUCCAGACUUAGGUUUCUUCUCUUGAGCAGCAACUUGUUUGCUGUUCUUCUUGAAGUUCCCCUUCUUCUUCCCUUUGCCCUUUUUCUUGAAACUGGUGGUCUUGUUGACCAUCAACACUUGAUGCUCCUUCUUGAUUUCUACCUCCGUAGCCUUUAGCAUUGUGAAGAGCUCGGGAAUCGUCUUAUCCAUCCCUUGCAUGUUAUAGUUCAUCACGAAGGUCUUGUAGCUUGGUGGCAGUGAUUGAAGAAUUCUGUCAAUGACGCUGUCAUCCGGAAGAUUAACUCCCAGUUGAAUCAAGUGAUUGUUAUAUCCAGACAUUCUGAGUAUAUGCUCACUGACAGAACUAUUCUCAUCUAUCUUACAGCUGUAGAACUUAUUGGAGACUUCAUAUCUCUCAAUCCGGGCAUUUGCUUGAAAUAUUAACUUCAACUCCUGGAACAUCUCAUAUGCUCCAUGACAUUCAAAACGUCGUUGAAGUCCCGGUUCUAAGUCGUAAAGCAUGGCACACUGAACUAUCGAGUAGUCAUCAGCUUUGGUCUGCCAGACGUUCAUAACAUCUGGUGUUGCUCAGUUUUUGUAGUACAUAUAUUGAAAUUCAGAAGUUUAAUCUUUGAAUUAUGAACAUAGGAAAUGUCUGAUGACGACGAUAGGAUCCCAGAGUGCAACUACUGCGGCGACGACCGGGGUCUAUGCGACAGGACUCACCUGCAAGACGGUUGACGCUUCAGUAUUAAGCUCGACGAGACCUUCGGUGUUGAAACGGUACGCAACGAUGACAAGUUUUUUUUCGUAAUUAAGCAUGACUGUUUUGCACCCGUGGAUCCGCCGGACAAAUUGUCGAAGCAGAGGCCGCAGGCCAGGUGGUUGUGGAAGAAUCCGGAGAGGGCCUGCGACGCCGUCUUGAUUAUUUUGGGGUCGGAGCAGAGCUUGAGCCACUGCUUGGACACGCACUUCAAGCGGCAGAGCGACCAGUACAACAGCCGUGCCAGGAUCUCAACGAGGGGGCCCUCAGAGACGAUCGCCGCCCACGGCGGCUGCCUCUGCUUCCUCCUCUUCUACAAACGGAACAAAGAAAGAUUAAUUAGGCUCCCAGCCGAUUCCGUUCCAUGGACCCGAGAAAGAUUGAUUGGAAGAUGAGGUGUGGAGCACUGGAGCAGACUUGAGAAGCUACGGCGGGGAACGGCGGCGCAGGACGGGACUCGUCGCGGCGGCGGAUCGCCGGCGGGUGGCUCUGCUCCUUCCCCGUGCAGUCAUGCUUGCUUGUUUCUCCACCCCCUGGUGGCAUCGUGGAUCAGUGCCUGGAGGCCCUCGUGGGAGCAAGUUCCGGAGCUCGCCGGAACUCUAGCUAGGGUUUGGAAACCGGAAGGGCAAGAGCGGCGGCCGCGGCUUGAUGGCCUUACGAUUCUUCCAGAAUUCCCCCGAGAUAACCGCAUGUAUAUCUGGAAAAGUGAUUUUUUCAAUAAAUAAACUACCUUUUUUAAAAAAAUUGCCAGAUCUAAUAUAAAGAUUAACAGAAAGUGCAAUACUCCUCAAACAUAAUAAAAUUUACAUCGAGGUCCAUGGACCACCAAACAACCAUGGCCGCCGCUAGAAGAAGCCGUUGUCGCCGCUCUGACAUUGUCGAUGACAACCGGGAAGUCUUCGUGCACGUACCACUAAGGACCAGCGUCCCGGAGCCGCAGUCGUCGUCGUUGAAUCCUUGAAUCGAUUUGAAGAAUUUGACACCAAAUAUCGACGCUGCAUAUGCACAGCGAGAAACCCUAACCUCGCCGAGCUCGCAGGAAUCUGCGCCAGAGCUCCAUCAAUUCAUCCUAACGGACAAACUUGAGAAGGAUCGAAGUCCGGAAGACUGACUCGAAGAAGAAACAUGGCCAUUCGUCCAAAUGUCGCCCCUACGAGCUCUAAAACCCUACCUAUCUACUAGCAUGAGCCGAGGCACCAGAAAUAUCCUCCUCGCCACCGGCCGCCAGAGCUGCGGGCGGAGGGGAGGUGAAUUCAUGAGCUCGCCGGCGGAGAUCCAGGGGAAGAAGAUUUUUUUUCUAGUCGCCUUGCGAGAGGGAAAAAAUAAAUAAGCUACCUUAAUUGGAUGUGUAAAGUACCACGUUUCGUCUCUCCAAAAUCUUUUGCCCACCCAUUUUCCUGAAACUAAUUUUCUUUGUCCAUUUGCAACCUUCAACAAAAAAUAAAUCAUAGAUGUAGCGUGCCAAACAAUUUAACGUUAAGUUUUGAAUGACAAACAAUUCAACAAGUUUCAUCACUGAAUGCAACAGACUGAACGAAUCAAAGUUAGCCGACGUUUUCAUGACGCGCAUUGAUGUUGCUAUGCAUCGUGUGAAACCACUUCUUGGCGUCGGCAUCGGAAGACUUGGUUCGGACUAUCAAAUAUAGACAAGCGGGGGAAGAGUGGGGGACACCCUACCACCCAACAAGAGACUGCUGCUGACCUAAAAGAAAAGCGACCGAUAAUAAAAGUAUUUAAAUCUGGGUGUCUAUUUUAUUGUCCAUUUGGGACUCGCGUCUGACUCCCGGCUCGUUCUCGAGCGACCUCGGUGGACCCGCCACCACCUACCUCCCGCUGCCCCAUGCCCUUGUUGUUGUUAGAUGUUAAGCCCUACAUGAUGGAUGAUGGUUGCAUGCUCAUGCUCGACGUGCUCACUCGCCUGUGCUCUUCCUCCCCCUUCACAAAAUGGUUGCUUUGAUAUCCCAUCGAACCGCAACAAUUACCUAGCAAGAUCUGCAUGGGACAUCACUGUCGGAGUUAAAUCCGGCUGAUCUGUAGGUAAGGGAUCCUAAACUAGGCGUCUUGGGAUGAUGGUAACAGAGACACAUGAUUUACCCAGGUUCAGUCUCUCCGAAGAGAUAAAAGUCUAGUUCUGCUUGUGUUAUAUUGCAUUAGAGUGUGUACAAAGUACGUGUAAACUAACAAGAGAUUGUAUGAUGAGAUGUAGAUUGCCCUCUAUCGACUAGCCCGAUCCCAGCUUAUAUGAGAUACCGAAUGCCUAGGAUUACAAGAGUCCUCGGUUGCGUCAGUGGAGAGGAGUCCUCCAUGGAUACGGAGUCCUUGUCUUGAACGUCAGGGCUUCCAUUAUCUUCUUCGUAGAGCGUCAUGAGCCGACCAAAGUGGCCCAAAACGGAACCAACCUAGAGGUCCUCAGCCCGGCCCACAAAGCCGGAAACCGACAUGGCGAGAGACCCCUGGGUCGGGACACCGUCAGCAUGGAGAGGAACGGUCUAGCUCGCAGAGGGGAUUAGGAUCCCCAUGGUGUAGAUGAAUGAGGAUGGCGGCCUGCUUUCACCCGUGACGAGCGAGAGAGAGAAUGAGAGGUCGCCCCGGCAGACUGGCGGGGCUUUGUAGAGGCGUCGAGCCAACGGGCCAGCCCCGGUAGCCAACUCCACGAGGCCAAAAAAAACAGCAGAAAUGAUGCGCCCUGGGUUCAAACUCGCAACGCUGGCUCGUCAGUGCGUAAACCAAGCCGAUGGAGCUAAACACCUUUUAUGAAUAGUAAGCAGCGCAAACUUUUAAGUAGUUAGACUCACAUAAAAUUCCUAAAAAAGAUGGGCUCCGUCAGCAUGGAGAGGAACGGUCUAGCUCGCAGAGGGGAUUAGGAUCCCCAUGGUGUAGAUGAAUGAGGAUGGCGGCCUGCUUUCACCCGUGGCGAGCGGGAGAGAGAAUGAGAGGUCGCCCCGGCAGACUGGCGGGGCUUUGUAGAGGCGCCGAGCCAACGGGCCUGCCCCGGUAGCCAACUCCGCGAGGCCAAAAAAAACCCAGCAGAAAUGAUGCGCCCUGGGUUCAAACUCGUGACGCUGACUCGUCAGUGCGUAAACCAAGCCGCUGGAGCUAAACACCUUUUAUGAAUAGUAAGCAGCGCAAACUUUUAAGUAGUUAGACUCACAUAAAUUUCCUAAAAAAGAUGGGCUCACAAGGAUUCAAACACGGCACCUCUUGGAAGUAAGCAGUGGUACAUAACCACUGGAAUACAUAAUUUUGAUGUUUCAAAGUUGCAACGCGGCUUAUAAUAACUGUGAAAGGCGACAAAUCAAUUUUUUUGAGAAUUUCGAAUGUGUUUUUAUUUAGGAAAGCAAAUAAUUAUUGAAACAAAAACACUUCAAAAUUGUGAAAAAAUUUACAACUUGGAAAAUUGUUUGAAACGCGAACAUUUUAUGGAAAAGUGCAACGUCUUUCAAUCUUGAACAAGUUUUAGAAAAAGGGAGGAAUUUUCAAACAAUUUUGGAAACUCUGAAAAAAAAUUAAAAGCAAACAAUUUUUGCACAUGUGAACAGUUUUAGAAACUGUGAACAAAAUUAGAGAAAGGCAAACGAAUUCAAUAUCAUGAACAGUUUUUUGAACUUGUGAACAAAAUUUGAAAAACCAGGAACAUUUGUGAACUUUUGAACAAUUUUAGAAACCCUGAACAAAAUUUAGAACGAUAUUUUUGAAACUUAAGGAUUUUUUUAAUUGCUAAAAAAAUUCAUUUAUGAGCAAAAUUGUAAAGACAAAAAAAAAUUGAACUUAGAAAAAUUGAAACCCAGAACUAAAUUAGGGAAAAGCAAACAUUUUUUCAAAUAUGUGUACAAUUUUAUUAAAAUAAAGAACAUGUUUUUUUUGUUGUUGAACAAAAAUUAAAAGGAACAUUUUUUAAACUUCUGAACGUUUUUUGAAAAGCGUGAACAUUUUUUAAAUUUAAGUACAAUUUGAAAACGAGAACAUGUUGUGGAGUUUUGAAAAAUUAUGAGCAACACAAAUACUUCUUUUUUGGAAAAAAAAAAGAGAAAACUUGACAAAAUGAAAAUGAAAAUGGAAGGAAAAAAAAGGGGAAAAGUGGGAAAAUGAAAAAGAAAACAGGUCGGGGAAUCUCCUUGAAGGUUCCAUAAGCGGAAAACCCCGGCUGCGAACCACCUAGAAACUUACCAAAACCAGGAGCGCUGAAACCUAUAACGGGCCGGCCCAUCCCGAAUGCUCGUUGAUCUUCCCUUUGCGUCGCUCCGCAACUUGCCGCAGCGAGCGGCAAAUAGGAAAACACCCCACAACGACGGAUCGACUGGACUCAUUCGCGCAACGGACUGUAGUUAGCAAAUUGGUAACUGGGCUGAGAGAAAAGGCCCAAAUAACUAGAGGGCUCAGUUUUUUCUUCUGGAGUAGCUGCCACAGUUGGCCCAUAAAAAAACUGCGUUAAAGAACAAAACUGACAGCACAUCUAGCGGCCAGAUCACGUGAACGGACGGUCAUGAGGGACUGGGUUUAGGUUCGGUUUUACUGUCCUAAAUUCCUAUAUAUUGUUGCACGCCCUGACACACCAUGAUGUUUAAAUUUUUUAGAAUGCAACAAAUUUGCCCACAAUGUAAGAACUUGGUAUUUCGAAUGUCAUGGAGUUCUUGAUUCACUUUUAAUUACUGUUUUAAAACCUAAAAUUAGAACUAAACAUUUCAAACAAAUGCCAAGAAAAAGGAACAAAGAAAUAUUGUUCUAAUGGCUUGCAAUGGGUGCGUUCCUGGGAAGGAUAAAAAAGAGCAAUGCCCCUGGCCAAUUUUCUCUGCUCCUCUUCUCUCCCAUCUCCUCUCCAUCUCAGUUCAACAAUCAAUAUGAAGCCAUGAACAACAACACUCAAACAAGAUGAAACCGCAGCAACAGUAAGAAGCAAUCAACCACAAAACUACAUACAUUUACUCUGCUAAUGUUCAGCGUGAAUUUGGAAGAACAAAGAAAAGACCGUCUGUCUGUGGAAUCAAGCACACCGAAUGAAUCGUGCUACGCUAGGAAAAACGAGAGCAAAACAAACCGAAAAACGACUAAGCAGCUCCAAAUCGCAGCUCUAUACACACCACGUACGUCACCGGCGGCUCGACUCAGCUCAGGCUUCAC